GAAAAAGAUUCGAAGUUCCUAUUUUUCAAUCUAAUACAAUAUUUAAUAAUAUUAAAUUAAAUAAUAGGAGACUCAAAAUGAAAGUUUCUUUUUCGCACUCACUCUCCAUCACAUUGGCAGAACAAAAGUGUCAUAUGUAUCGAUAUGGAAAUAUUUGAUAUGUGAAGACAUGAUUUGAUUUAGGUUUCUAUCUAUUAUAGAAUAGAUAGAAUAUAUAGAUAGAAAUGGAUCUUGUUGUGUUCUGGAAUCAAAGAAAGAUAAGAUGUUGAAAAAGGCUCUUAGGUUGUAACUUGAAAUAAAUGUUUCUCUUUAUCUAGAAAGGAAUAGAAUAUUAAUUUAUUCCUAGGAACAAGAAGAUUGAAUCGGAAAUAUCGACAGAUUCUUGUGGAGUCCAAAUAAAUAUGAAAUAAAAAGAAAUCGACUGUUCCAAUUUCAUCUCUAUCGAAUUUUAAUAUCAGAAUAGUGGAUAUAGUCACGAUUCAAUGGGUUAGAUCCACUUACUUUUUCUUUUGUUGAUUUCUAAUAUUUACAAUUCUUUACAAUGGAUUUGAUUGGAAUAAUCUAAUUCAAAAUCAAAACAAAAUAUAUAUUUGUCGCUUCAAGAGACGGCUUAUCAUUAUUCAUAUAAUUUCAACUUUCUUUUAGAAUUCCUCUACUCUAACUCAUUAGAAUAAUAACUUAUUAGAGUUAAAUUAUACAAUUUCUAAUUCAAUUAUUAUACAUAUACAGUUGGGUUUUUAUUACCAAUAAAAACAACAUCCUUAUGUUUCAAUAUGAAUACUACCAUUUUAUAGGAGUUUUAUGAAAAAUAAGUCAAAAGCCCCUUAUCGGAUUUGAACCGAUGACUUACGCCUUACCAUGGCAUUACUCUACCACUGAGUUAAAAGGGCGGUUCGACUCAAUUACUGAAUGAAUCAGUAGACGGAUAAGAUCUAUUUAUAUAUAUAAGUAUAUGCAGUAGACUCAUAGUGGCUAGUAGCUCUCAGGAAUGAGAAUUCUAAUUUACUUAACGUGUAGAGGGUAAAAUGGUUUUAUUGAUAUUGGGUUUGUAUCAAUGCAAUAAAUUGUUUCAAGGCCAAUCAUAAUUGGCUUAUCAGAACAGAACGAAAUUCAUUUAUUUGAUUAAUACAUGUACCUUAGCAAUUNNNNNNNNNNNNNNNNNNNNNNNNNNNNNNNNNNNNNNNNNNNNNNNNNNNNNNNNNNNNNNNNNNNNNNNNNNNNNNNNNNNNNNNNNNNNNNNNNNNNNNNNNNNNNNNNNNNNNNNNNNNNNNNNNNNNNNNNNNNNNNNNNNNNNNNNNNNNNNNNNNNNNNNNNNNNNNNNNNNNNNNNNNNNNNNNNNNNNNNNNNNNNNNNNNNNNNNNNNNNNNNNNNNNNNNNNNNNNNNNNNNNNNNNNNNNNNNNNNNNNNNNNNNNNNNNNNNNNNNNNNNNNNNNNNNNNNNNNNNNNNNNNNNNNNNNNNNNNNNNNNNNNNNNNNNNNNNNNNNNNNNNNNNNNNNNNNNNNNNNNNNNNNNNNNNNNNNNNNNNNNNNNNNNNNNNNNNNNNNNNNNNNNNNNNNNNNNNNNNNNNNNNNNNNNNNNNNNNNNNNNNNNNNNNNNNNNNNNNNNNNNNNNNNNNNNNNNNNNNNNNNNNNNNNNNNNNNNNNNNCUAAGUGCAAAUUGUGAUGUACGAUGCUUUGGGUCUUGCAGAGGGGACAUUACGAUGUUCGAACAUCAAGGUUAGGAAUGAUGAAAUAGAGGAACGGAAGGAGGAAUAGAGAAAUUGGAAUCCCAUUAAAAUUUCGCCAUCUGGGAUUGCUGGGAGCAAACCAUAAUGUGUGAAGCUCCAAACCUUGCAGAGGGGACACUUUGGUGUUUGAGCAUCAAGGUAAAAUGUGAAAAGAAAUGAUGUUGACUGGUCUUUUAGGGUGACACUGUGACAGUGAUAUUCAAGUUCCAUAGAGCAUUACCGUGAUGACGGUUAGUAGGCUCUAUGAAGUGACAUCGUGAUACCGAUAAGGUCCUUCAGGGCGGUACCUCAAAUAAGGUCUAACGUGUAAGAGCAUAUCUCAGUUAUGGCAACUAAGGUAGUCCGUCAGGACAGUAAACACAGGUAGUCCACCAAGACGUAAAAUGUGAGGAUCAUAACUAGAAAGUUUGCAGUUCAUGAAGGAUGUCAAGGGUGAAAGUAGAGUUCGCUGUGUGAUUGGAGCAAUAAGUCGCAAGAAUAAAUGAGUUUGGUGUGUAAAAGGAAUAUAGACCACUGGGAAUAAUGAGUAAUGCCAUAGUUAUGUCUCAACCCUAGAUAGUUUUGAGGAACCUAUAUUUUUAAACCUUGAGUGCAAGUUGAGUUAAAAACUCAACCCUUCUCAAUCUUUGCUCUUAAAAAUACUCUAUAGAAUAGAUGUCAGGCCAUAAACAUUGACGGUUAGUUAGAAAGAACUUGAUGGUUUUAAAAAUGAAUUUGAGUGAAUAGUGUAUAAACUCUAACAAAAAUGCGUGUAGAAUGAAAAAAAUGACUGAACAAAAACAUUGUGAGAGUCAAAGCAAAGCAAGUGAAUAAAAAGCAUGGUUAGUGAUAAAAUCAUUAUGAGUGAAAAGAGCAAAAAGUUUAGAAUGUGCACAAAAUGAAAAAUCAAUUCAAGAGUCUAAAAUGAACUUUUCAUUGUCAUUAUGCACAAUUGCUCGCUAAAUUGUUUGUACGCACUAAUAGCGAGCCAUAUCUUCCACAUUGUUGGAGAAAAAUGGAAUGUGAGAGAAUGAGAAAUAAGGCAUUGAGCUUAACAAUCACUUUUCGGGGAAAAUAGGAACAAUGUCAUAUGCUAUACUGUUUUUAGUGCUUGAAAAGUUUUGAAUCAAGCUUUUCUUUGAAUUCACACCAACUUAAGCAUAAGAACAUUACAAGCCAAAAAGCCUUAUGUGAUCUUAACGUCAUUGUUUACAAAUCCAAAACUUGCAAAACUUCUUGAGAAAUGAAUAAGUUAAAUUCCUUAGUGUAUAGAUACAUCAUAUUUGCAUGACUUAUUUUGAUGGAAUAAUGUGAAGAAUGUUGUUCUUUUGGGAUCACCUCUAUGUUCAUUUACUCUGUAACUUCAUGAAAUAAAUUGAUUUCAUCCCAAAUUUGUGAGUUUAUAAUUCCUCUUUCUUAAGUUGUAUGGUAGAAGAAUUGGUUACACUGUACAUACCCAUCAACUGAUUGUCAAAUCUCUCAAUUGUUCAAGAGUCAUCGAUUUUGCAUGUGUUAGUGUUAUAGGUGUUUGUUUGAAGAGAAGUAAAGAUUUAAGUGCGGGGGAGUUUAAUCUAUCAUAAUUUGAUACGUCAAAUUAGGCUCUCCAAAACACUUGAGGAGCUUAUUCUCAAGCAAUUUAGGUGUCUUUUUUUUUAUAUUUUUGUUCAUUUUUAGUUUUUACUAUUAAUAAACUUUUUUGUUUUGUUCAUUUUGAGACCCAAAUUGGUAAAAUGGUUCCAUAAGGGACCUAAAAAGUAUUUGAGUUGGUGUAGGGAGACGAAAAUGACUUGACCUUGAGUAAAACAACAUUCAACAUGAGUUUCGCGACAUUAAUGCUAUGGAAGUUGCAAUACCGAGUCUGUAAUAUCUUAUUUUUCAGUGGUAACAGAAUAGUGGUUUUGGGACCACAAGUUCUGGCAUGUCGGUUCAUAAAUGUUAUUUAUAUAAUAUUUACAAGGCAAUUAAGGUCAUGCUAAAAUUUGGUUAAGAAAUUUUAAUGUUUAGAAACUUAAUUAAGUAAAAAGGACUAAAUUAUAAAAGAUGCAAAAGUUAAUUUCUAUUUGUUAAAAGGGUCAAAUGAUUAUAGAAUCUUAAAUUAAUGAACUUAUAUGGUAACUAUACCAUGCAUAAUAAUAGUGGACAAUUAUGGGCAUGUUUUUGUUAAUUGUUAAGUUAAUAAAAAAAGGGUAAAAAGGUAAAUAGAAAAUAAAAUGUAAAUUAAGUAAAAAGAAAAAAAAAUCAAUCAAGUGGUCAUCUUCCCUAUUUUGCUUGAGGGAACCGAAAAACCAUUGAAAGGAGGGGAAGGCUUUCGGUUUUGGUUAAACUCACAUGUAUGGUAAGAUUUUGAACCUCAUUUUUAAUUAUUUGUAUGCUUUUGAAAUCGUUGCAACUAGGUUCAACUAACCCGUACCUUUGUUUUUGAAACUGUAAAAAUUUUGAAUUUUGUCAUUGAUUAAUAUUGAUUGUUCUUGAUGUUAAUGAUGAGUUUAAGGUCUUGAUGUUAAUGAUGAAUUUAAGGUCUUGGUUGUAAUUUUGGAUUGUUUUGUAAAGUGAUUUUUGUUAGUUUUUAGUUAAAGAAUUAAAUUGUUAAAAUGUUAAAAAUCUCAUAGUCUAAUUAUGAAAUAGUGAUAUUUUAGGGACCGUUUUGUAACGUUAAAUAUUGGGCUAGAUGUGGUUAUUUUCAAAAGUGACUAAGUUGAUGAUUUUCGGGAUAAGGGACUAAAUCGCAUAAAGUGUAAAAGUUAGGGGAAAUUUUAUAAAUUUAUAAAUAAAAUGGUACAAAUUUUAGAAUUUAUUAAUAUAUGAAAUUUAAGCUAAUAAAUGAAAUAAAUUAUAUUUUAGAUUAAGAUUCUGUUGAUAUACAGGGAAAAUGAAAAGUAAUAGAUUAGUUCUUAAACUUCUAUAAUUGCUGCAAUUCCGCCCAGGUAAGUUCAUAGUAUUUCAAUAUGUUAAUGUAAUUUGCUAGUGAAUUAUAUUAAUGUUCUUUAAUUAAUUGAUGAAUAUAUGUAAGUAGGUGAAUUUAUUUUGGAUAAUUAUAUAUAACUAUGAAAGUUACAAAUAUUUUGCAUCUAUGAAACCGAUAGAGAAUAUUGUAAUGUUUCUCUUGGAACUGUGUUAAAGUUAUUUAAGAAUGAAAUGAAUUUAAGUAUGUAUUCGAGAAUGAAGAAAAUGUUACUGAGUGCACAUACAUGCCCCUGUUUGUACUUCAGUACCCCUAAAUGCAUAUACGUGCCACUGUUUGUACUUCGGUACCCCUGAAUGCACAUGAGUGCUCUAAAUGCACUCUAGUACCUCGGAAUUGCAUCAUUGACGCCCCUAAAAAUUGAGUAUUGAGCUAUUGUAUAAACUGAGUUUAAUUAAUUUAAAGUAAAAGUUAUACUAUGACCUUACUAAGCUAUGUAAGCUUAUGGUGUUUCUUAUGUUGUUUUGUAGAUAAUCAUUGUUGACCGUUUGGAAGGAUCAACCACAAAGCUCACACUAUCUAAUCAUUUUUGGUAGCUUUUUCAUUUCUUUUUGGGUUGUGCCAUGUGUAUAUAGGUUUUGUUUGUAAGUUAUUAAUGUUAAUGGUAAUGGAUAGUUAAGAAGUUUUGUUAGCUUCUUUUGAGUACGUUUUGUAAUGUUAGAAUACAAAAUCUUAUGUAUGAAUGGAAAUCCUAAUGUUUAUUUGGUAAACUUUGUAGCAUGUUCAAAAGGUAAUAAUAAUAAUAUAGUUAGUUUUGGGAGCAUAAAUUGAAAAUUGGUACUAGACAAGGUCUUGUUAGGUUAUUUGAAUGUUUAGUUAUGAAAUGAGGUGCCUAUGGAUGGAACACUGGUUAGAAGCUUUAAGUUGAUUGUUUUGACAUGUUUAAGAAUGUGUUAAGAGUGUUUUGAUCAUAGGACUCCGUAAGCCCAAUUUAAGGCCCAUAAUUCUAUUCAUGCUAUGAAUAGAUAUUGUUUGUUAUAUGUUUAUAAAUUAAUUGUUUAACUAUUUUAGAAAUAAUGUGAAAUGUUUUGUUUUGAUCGAUAACACUCUAUAACCUUAAUCCAAUAAUAAAGAUGGGAUAGGGGUGUUACAGAGUCCUUCUACAUCGAGGGUUCAAAACUUCAACGAGAAAUCAACCUGAAGUUGACUGUUGAGAAAGUCACGACACCGAGGGUAUGAUGUCGCAACACCAAGCCUCCAAGGUCUUGAUAUCCUUGAAGAUGUUGAAGUGAAGGAAUCAUGGUAACCAUCAAUGACAUCGCAACACCGAAGCCUGGGUGUCGCGACACCGAUGCCUGAUGGAGUGAAAAUUGCUAUAGGGUAGCCUUUUGUCCAACAUAUUUGUCAAGAUUUUUAGACUUGAACUCAGUUGAUAAAAGCCACUUUUGGUUGAAAACUAAAAGAGCCAACUUUAUCUUUCAUCUUUUUAGCUUAAGUAAUUGUCUUCUUCUCCAUUCUUAGGUUUAGCUCAUUGCUUUUCUGAGCUUAGUUAAUUUGAUUGUUAGUUUUUACUGUAGCAUUUUCAUCUUCUUUGCAAUCUAGUCUUCAACUUACUUUGUAUUUGACUUUAUUUGAAAGCUUUCAAUAUAUUUUAGUUUAUUUACUUUAGAAAGCAUAAAAAUCUAAAUUUUAUUUUUAUUUUCUCCUUCAUUGUUGUUGUCAUCAUCUUCUUCAAGUAGACAUAGAAGAAAUUCCUAAGCUUUCUCUAACUUGACUCUUGUGUUUAUUUUAAUAAGCUAUUUGAGUAAGUGUUUGAUCAUUAUUUGCAUGAGAAUGAUGUUGGGUAAUUAAAUCUAUGGUGGUUGAUUGAUGGAAAUGUUGCUUGGUUAGUUUUUGGUGCAGAGACUAAAUUGUAAAAAUUGAACUAAAUCGAAUAAACUUCAUAACUUGGAAUUGACGUCUCUAGGUGAAUAUUUAGGUAUGUGAGACCAAAAAGAGAACCUAUCGAGAACCAAUUUGGCUAUCCCGAGUUAGUUUGGUGAGGUCGAGAGAUAAAUCGAACUAAAUAGUUUAAUUUGGUAAAAUGGUGAUCAAGAGGUAAAAUUGAACCAAUUAGAAGUUUAAGUCUUUUAGAUCCCUAAUCCGAAAGCUAAUCAACAACAUGGAAGGCACCCAACUACUUGUGCUCAUUGAAUUGUUUAGUUGCGUAGUUUUUACUAUUUUGCAAUUUAGUCUUUCUUAGUGCUAGAUAUUUAAUUAGUGUAAUUACCCCUUAAUUAUGAUUUGUUGUAAUAUGAUAUUUAGUGAGUAGUUAGCUAGACUUCCUAUUUGCAUGCUUAUUUCACAUUAAUCACUUUGUCCUUGAACUCUUUUGGGCUCUAUCCUUGGAAUACUAAAGGUGUUCCAUUGUAACACUAUAAAUAUUACAAUUGACCUUUCACACUUACAGUACACCGCUAGAUUAUUGUUUGUAUUUGUAUUGAUUCGUAGCCUCGUCGCACGCACGCUGAGGCGCGGUCAUUUUCACAUUAAGUUUUUGAUGGUCUUACAUCAUCUGUGUAGCAGUGCAUAUAUGAGGCACAACAAAUUUCUAAAUCUCUCAUAGUUGCGACCUUUGGAUCAAUGUAGCUCGUACCCGCUAGUUGUAACCUUCUACAGACCUCCAACACUCCCCAAUAUAUAAUGUUGGUUUAAAUACAACGACUUUGUAGUCCACCAACACUUUCAUGCUAUAACACUUAAUGAAAAAUAAACAUUCCAUUUGUUUACGAAUUUUGGAUCUACGAACAACUCUUCUGAUUCAGAUUUGCCACCAACCUGUGAGAAGGUAUUAUAUCUAGGUAUUUAGGGAACUUAGAUGCAAGCACAACACCAGGAUUUAUGCUCAACAUGUGAGCCCUAAGGUCAUUGCGUAUGACAACGCCACGAGUCAAGUUCUUGAGUGAAAAAGGCAUAUACAUUAUCAUUAUCGCCUAUUCCUUUAUUAUCGAUAUCAUCCAUGACCUCAUCGAGAUGGGGGUCACUAAAAUCUUCACCCUGGUGAUCAGAACCACUAUCAUUAUUAAGUUAUUAUUCACCAUUUUCAUCGAUACCAAUCACCAAUAGAUUUAUCUAGAAACCAAGACCCAAAUUAGGGUUGUUAUACACAAUUGGAGCAUUGUGUUGAUUCUUGGCCAAUGUUGAUAUUGCUCCAUAAUCACAUGUCAAGCAUAUGUAUAGACAAUCUCCUAUCAAUAGAUGCUCUUGAAACCUUCGUAUAAAAGUCUAGAACUCCAUAUUGUUGAUUUAAUGGACUGACAUUUUGAACGAGCUCAACAUCUGAUAACUCAUCGAACAAUUCAACUAGUUCAAAUUCCCAGAUGAGCAAUAAAGUGCGAUCAUAGUCUCCACAUCAUCAUCAUCUACAAGUUUCAUCUCCCUAUAUUUGCACAUAUUUGACGAAACUAGAAAUUUGUAGAAUAGUCUGGACAUCCUCCUUUCACACCAUCGUGUAAUUUUCGCACUAACCAUCGAGUAAUUUUCGCACUAACCUUUUGUUUUAUAUCGUUGACUUUUACAUUCUUGUUAAACCUCAUUCCUAUUUGAUGGCGAGAUUCAAAUAUACAACCAACUGUUGUUUGUAAAAUUACCCCAUCGAAGAAUUGGUUAUCUUCCAUACUAAAUCUGUAAAAUAAAUUAAAAAUAUAUUAGUUCCUAUUAAAACAAUUCAUACCAUUUUAUAGCAAUAAAAAUACUUUUUAUCAAACGAUAUAACUUGCAUAUCAUAUUACUAAAUAUCAAAAUAUAAUAUAAUAUAAUAUAAUAUAAUAUAAUUACAUAAAAAUAAUUACAAACUAAUCUUAUAAACUCAAAUUUGAUUUUUGAAGUAUAAAAUGAAAAGCAAAUAUGUUGAUAUUCAAUUUUGAUUUAAAAAAACUCUUUUUUUCUUUCUUGUUUUGUUAAACCAAUUUUGUCUCCUCUAUUGCUAAACAAAAUUCUCUCUCUCUCUCUCUCUCUCUCUCUAUUUAUGUUAAACAGGUUAAAAUUGUAUUUUGAUCGAGGAAGGGGGCAAUAUAUAGGAGGGUGGUGUCGCCUGACAACGUUGCGACACUCAUUUAAACAGUCAGGUUCUUCAAUUUUCAAACCGGUCCCACUGACGUGACAUCAACAUUUUUUAUAACUUCAACAACUUUCUGUGUUAGCAAAUUAAAAAAAAACUUUUAAAGUAGUGCUACUGGUGUGUCAGGUAGCACAGAUAAAAAAAUAUUUUUUAUAACUUCAACAACCUUUUUUUUGUCAGCAAAACUUUUUUUAACAUUUAAAGUGGUGUUAUUGAUGUGUCAGGUGAUACUAAUAAAAUUUUUUUUUAACUUUAACAAUUUUUUUUGUCAACAAAUUUUUUAUAGAAAAAAAUUUUAGCGGUGCGUUGAUUUGUAAGACAACACUAAUAAAAAAUAUUUUUUAAUAUUUUUCUCUCACUAUGUAUACCCGUGUGAAAAUACGAGUAUUUUUAAAAUACAUAUCUCUGACACAGUGGCAACAGCAAUAAAAAUAUAUUCUUUUUAAAAUCGUCAUGAUUGAGUAAAAAGUGAGAUAAUACCAUCAUUGUGUCAAGCAACAUCAAAAAAAUAUCUCAUUUUCGUAAUUAAUAUAUUCCUCGCUUCUAUUUAUUUAGUUUUUGUAUCAUUUUUUUAUAAAAAAAACCUAAUCUAACAUCAAACAUCAAAUGAGCAUUUUGGAUCUUUAAAAUUAUUUAUUUAGCAAAUUUUUUUUAAGAAAAUUGAUAAAAUUGUAGUCCUAAUAAAGGCCAUAAUAAUGGUAGCUGUCCUAAUGAAUUAUCCCUAACAAAACUGUUGUCCUAAUAAUGGCCAUAACAAGAUUGAACAAAAUGAAAAAUGAAGGCCAUAGUUAUUGUUUUCUAAAACUCUGCAUUUCUCAAUCAACAUCCAAGCCAUUUAUAGUUUGGUAGAGUUGUUACUUUUAUAAAACAAGAAAUAUUAUAUAUGAUUUAAAUUCAAAAUAUUAUAAUAAAAAUACAUUUAAUUUUUAUGUUAAUUUAUUGCGUAGGUAUAUCUUGAUAAGUAACCAAAAUUCAUAAAAACCUCUUUCUCUCAAGACAAGUUGAGUGAUGUGCUGAAAAUUAUUGCGUCUACGUACCCAGGGUUUAAGGGUGAAGUGACAUGUUUAAAAAUAGGUCCUCCAAGUAUACGUGUCUAAUUGUUGGAGGUUUAGCGUUGCAAUAACUUGUAAAUUCAAUUGCCAUCCACGACCUAGUCCACCUCUCCUUUUUCCUUCCAAUACUAAUUCAAAUCAUUAUAUUUAUUAAAAAUUGGAUAGUAUAAUUUAUUGCUUAUUAUAAUUGAGUUUUUAUUGAUGUUGUAUAAAAAGAUAACCUACAAUGGUAUUCUAGUAAUAUUUUAAUUAAAUUAACAUCUGUUUGACUCGUAGCACCAACUUAAAUAUAAAUAUAAAUAUAUAAUUUUAAAAAACGAUUGAAAAUUUAAAUACAAAUCUUUUAUCGCCACACUUAUAAUAUCAUUGUCACCAAUAUUUUUUAUACAAAAAUUAAUAUUAUAUUUUUUUCCAAAAAAAUUCAAUUAUACAUUAAUUUAAUCAAAAUUAAAAUAUAAUCAAUAAACAAUGUUUCUUAUCACUAAGCCAAAGUUGCUCAAGAAUCACUAAAAUUAAAUUAAAUUGAAUUUAUUAGUUUUUAUAUUUAUGUCAUAUUCAAUUUUUCAUAUCUAAAAUGUUAUAAAUAAUACAUUAAAAAUUCAUGCAAUAUUAAUUUUGAUAUUUAUGUUGUAGUCCUAUUCCAAGUUAUAAAAUCUAAUAAAGAUAUUUUAACCUUUUCUCCCUAUCUUCCGGAAAUGGGAGUUUUGUGCUGACAUUUCUAAAACUGAUGUCAGCUUUUCCUUGCAUGGAAUUAUGUAGUAACGGCUAAUAUAGAGAGUUAUCAUGUGAAGGACAAAGAAAAAAAGAAAAAGAAAAAUCGUGAUUCAAUUUUCUUUUUCUCAUAAUUUGAAUAACAUAUUUUAAUAUAACUCUUAAAUAUUUUCUCCAAAAUUUUAUUUUAGCGACAAAGAAUAUAUUUAUCAACAACCUUAUCACUUCGCCUAUUGGUAUUGGUGUUUAUUUCUGAACCCCCAACUUGAGUUUUAAUCAUAGGGAUCGUCUGCACGGAAUGUGUAUAUCGGUGACAAUUGAGAAUCCUAUCAAGAAUGUAUGAAUUGUAUGCUUUAAAAUAUUAUAUUUAUUAAUAAAAUAAAAUAAUGGAAAAGUAAUGAAAAGUAGAAAUGAUAAAAAAUUUAUUUAGAUCAAUAAUUUUUUUUCAAAACUAAUAAUUAUUAAUAGAAAAUGUAAUGGUUCGAUUAACUGCAAGAAAAACUAAUUAAAAAAUGUAUAAAUGUAAAUUGAUAUAUAUUUUUUUAUUAAGUGAGUUGGCCUAGGAUUAUAUUUUUUUUACAAAAAAAUAAAUCCUACAUUAUUUUUGAUAAAUUAAUAGGGUACGCCCCGAAUAACAAAUGCGACUAGCGUGACUUGAACUUAGGGCGAUAAACAUCCUUGACCAUUUGGUCAAGUUCAUAAAUAUUAAAUUGAAUAUAUAGAAAACCUUUAAAAACAGAAAAGGAAUAAAGGAAAAGAAAAGAAAGAAAAAAGCAACAACCAUCCCAUUUGUCCAUCACAGAAAAUGACCAAUUGGAUAAAGUCAACAAGUCAAGCCAUCAGUGGGCUACAUUUGAAGGGCAUUUCAGUUAAAUGUAUUGUGUUCGUAAUUUGUUAUGGUAUUCAUAUAUGUAGAAUUAACCUAUUUUGAUUGAUCCAAAAACAUUCAGACCAGAGAUCCCCAUGUCUGUUCUAAAGGAUUUGAGUACUUAUUCAUUCACUGAAUUUUAACACUCUAAAGGAAAUAAUCAAGUUUUGAGGAUUCUAUUAGAUCAAUCACUGAAUUUGGUCACUACUUUGUAAGAGAGAGGCAAAGCAUAAGAUUAUCAGAUACUUCCAACUUUCUGAACUGCUGUUUUUGAACCUUAAUUUAGAAGUUGAGAUAAGAAUCAAUAGCAGGGUUUAAUAUGUCAGAAUAUGAAUUUCAAACCAUUCAUUUGGACGAAAUUUUACUUGUAUUUUACAUGAUUCUCGUAUUAGAUCAAAACUAAAACAAAUAAAAGGUCACAAACAGCCCAGAAAACUGGUAUGCUCUCAUAAUCUAACACUCUUCUGGGAUUCCAUCGAGCACUGAAUUGGUAGCCGUGAAAGGGGAGACAACAAUAACACGAUCCGGUGGGAGGUGCACAAGCUCACGAGCUACAUCUUUGAAGUCGAGAAUCCCUCCAUCUUUGCAUUUCGACAGCAGUCGAGCAGCUUCUUCCUUUGUCAUCUUCAGUUUUACUCUUGUAACAGUAGUUCCUGCUUUCCCAUCGAAGCCUCUGGCGCUGCUACUGAUCUUUGGAUCCCUCUCACGAUCCUUAACUUUUAGCAAUGGUGUUGAGCUUGAUAAGUAAUCACCAUAAUACUUCUUUUGAUUGCUUGGUAUUUUCUUCUUGCUCAACUCAUCUCUGUAUAUGAACUUUGAUGAACUCUUGGAUUCUAUAAAAUCAAGGAUUUCACCUGACAAAACUUUUUGGAAACAUAAAGCAAGAAAGUUUAGCAUCUUUGAGGGGAAAAAACUAAAAAGACAGGCUUUGUUUUUAUGGGUUUUUCUUCCCCCCCCCCCCCUUUAUUACGCUUUUUUGUGCUGAUAAAGCAGAUGUAGGGUGGGGUUUAUAUAGAAGGCCGGUUGGAUUUGUGAACGAAGGAGUGCCUUUUGGAACAUUAAAUUAGGCUAAAGGGCAAUGGGGAGAUAAGUCAAGUGCACUCAAUUGGAACAUUAAAACUGUGUGUCUCAUGAGUCAAAUUGGAAAUUUGGAGUUUGGCACUUAAACUGCUGUGAAAAUGGGUGGUCCCCUAUGCAGGCCACACUGAGAACAACAAUCAGCAAUUGGCAUGCAUGAUUGAUUGCAUUGCUUCCGCUACUUUUUAUGUAUCCUUUUCCCUUCUUUUCUGUGGUGUUUGUGGGAAGUAGAGGAUCUGGCUUUAGGUGUGAUUCACAAGAAAUUCAUUAUUCUUCAUUCAUCAUUUAAGAAAAAUAUAUUAGUAUAUUUGAAAUGAGAAUGACAAAGUGAGGAUCCAUUUAUGUGCAGGUACAUAUACAUUCCUUGUAGACUUCAAGAUUGAGACUUACUCUAUGUAUCCAAAACCAAAGCCCCCAAAAAUAAAUAUAAUCAAAAUGGUUUUUGAACCAUUUUUGGAGGUUAAAAGGCAAUGUUGUUGCAUUUCCACUUCUUCAAUUAGUUCUUUAGGGUCAUCUUUUUAACAUGAAGCUAAAUUAGCCAGUAGUAAAAGAAAAGUUAACUUUCUUUUGAAGCUCUUUUCUUAAUUUAAGAGUUCUUUAUUUGAAUCUUGUAAAAAAAUUAAUUUCUCAAAAUAUUGUUUCUUUAUGUAUCUUGAUAUUCAUGGGCUUCAAGAUCCCUUAUUUUUACAAAAAAACUAAAAGAAUUUGAAAUCCAAUCAUUAGGUGAUAAUGAUAUGAUUUUGAAAUUUCUUCAACAUCCAUAUGUGUUCAGGCUCUCUUGAUACAUUUUCAAAAUUCUUUUUUUUAACUAUUGUGAAUUUAACUUGAGAUAGCAUGAUCUCGACAUACUUUUUUUCUAUCAUUGUGAAAUUAAUUUGACUUGAGACAACCUAUUUACUCCUCCCUUUCCCCUUUAUAUGUUUUACAAACUCCAAAAGAGUACUAUUUUAAUUUUUUUUCAAAAGUAUUUACUCACAAGAUCUACAAAUUCUAAACCUAUUCUGUAACACCCCAUGUCUGACGGGUACAAGGUUUGUCGCAAAGUCCUAAGGUACUAUGAUUGGCAGAGUAGGCUUCGCCCAAGUGCAUCUUUCGGUGUAUAGAGCGAGCGUGUACAAUUAUGUGGUUAAGUUAAUAAAGGUUCCUUUCCAGGUGGCUAUGUUAGUUGGAAUAGAUCAGUGACCAAGUAAAAUUGGUACCGAGAAUAUGAGUUUCUGUCAGGGAUAGUGUGUCCGUUAACUGUGGUACUGUGCAAGUUGAGUUGCAAGGUAAGUUGGUUAGGAACCAACUGAAUGUGAACCAGAAUAGUUAAAAGAUAAGAUAAUAUUCAAUUAGGUUUCUAGGAAGUUGAAGACUUUUGAUAAAACAAUUUAGUAAUGAUGUGACAUUUGUCAAGUUUCAAUAAGAAUUUAGAUUAUAAUAAUAGAUAUUCAAGUUUAGGAAAGGGGGAGUUCUUUUCUUCUUUCUUCUAAGACAAGGUUAUCUGAGGCUUGAGGAAUCGAAGGCAUUUCUUUAAGCUGAAGUUGAGAUCCAGGAUUUUAUCAGUGGUUUCUCCAUGUCAAGGUAAGUUUUAUGACUCUGCAUGUUGUGCUAUGAAAGAGUAGGUUUGUAAGAGUGCAUGAACAGUAAGAUGAAUAAUUAAGACUUAGUAUAAGGGUUAUGUAACAUCCCAAAAAUCAGGGGUUAGUUGAAUCGGGUUUGUGAAUCAAGAGAGAGUGGCCAUGCCUUAAUUUUUGAGAUUAUGUAUGCAUUUUUAAGAAAUAAAUUAGGUAUUGGUUUGUUGUUUAAGUGUUAAUGAAAUGUUUCUUGAAACCUAAGUUCAAAUCCCUUCUCUCGUAUCAUUUUUAUUAUAUUGCAAAUUUUGCCUUAAACCCUAGUAUAUGAAAUGCCUUGUUUUUAAAAUAAAUAUUGCAAAAUUAUUUCAAGAAUGAGGAAAAAGCCUAAUGGUUAAAAGAAAUAUGAGAAAGCAUUGAAAUUAAAUGAGGUCCCAAGUUCAAAUCCUUUCCCUUGUAAAAUAAUUAAAAUUUGUAAAAUUCCUAGUUUUUUUAAUGUGUGUGCCAUCCAUACCCUUGAACCCUAAGUAUAAAUAAAAAUUUUUUAUUUUAUUUUACAACCUUUAAUUCAAUUUUUCCCUAUCCUAGCCAUUCACCUUCUUCCUCUCCUAUUUUCUCUUCAAUUUUCCUUUUUUAUCUCAUUGUUGUCGUCGUUUACACCUCAUAUUUUACCAUAUCUAUCUUCUUUUUGCAUCAAGAUUGUGCACCAUCUCCUUUAGUAUAUUGCUACCAUUUAUCCUCAUCUAAAUAAGCCCCAAAUAUGAAAUCUUAAACCCCAAGAUUGACCUCGAACAUUGCCACGAAAGUGCCAUUGCCGUUUCUCUCAACUGGCUCAGGUAAAAUCUCUUUUCUCUUCAAUUUAUUGAUUAAUCUUGUCAAUUAAAAACCAAAAUAUACUGAUGUGGAAUUUAGGAGAUUUUAAAUGAUUUCAAAGGUAUUUUUUUUCCAGAUUUUAAUGAGAUCUCAAACCAUUUUAAAAUUCAACCCCAAUUUUGGCCACUACGGGUGAUGGUGUGUGCGCUUAUGUACAAGAAAGGGGGAUGUUUUGUUUCUUGGGUCUUGCCCAUAUUUUUUCAACAUUAAAUUGUGUUCUUGGUUCGUCCUUAUUAGCGUUUAAUCACAUGUUAAUUAGGGAGAGGUGUUCUUGAUCAAUCAACCAAUCAUAUCCCACAAAUCAUGAAGCGUAAGUGCAAUUAAGGAUAACUAGUUUGUUAUUUCGACAUAGUUGCUGGGUAAAGGUUAUGAAUUGAUUAAAUGAAGGAAUUUAAUCAUUAAUUAGCUACUGAUUUUCUAGUAUAUUAUUGAAGUAGGUGCUGACCCAAACACCCUAAAUCAUUCGAAAAGGUGAACGAUUGUACGUACGAUUCGUAUCGAUACAGUGUAAGGAAUUUAACUAGUUUGGAUUCAUAAAAUAAUUAUAAUUUCAAGGAUUAGUUUGAACUCAUAAGUGGGUGUUUGGGGGCUGGUUUAAUGGUAAAUUUAUUGAAUUUAUAUUUAAUUUAUAUUGAAUUUUGGUUUUGGUUUGUUUAAGGAAUUAUUAAGGAAAAUUGGAAGAUUCGCUAGUGUGCUGCGAGGAAGCGAAAAAUAAGGUGUGGGUCCUAAACUCAUAAAAUUGUUUGAAAAUAUUAAAUAUAAUGUUAUAUUUGAUAAAUUAGCUUGUUGAUUGGAUUGACUUAAUAGUAAAAUUAUUGAUUUUGUGAGUGGCUGAGCUAGGUAUGUUUCGAGCCUUAAAAGAUUGACAUGUUGGCAAAAUUUCUAGUUUAAUAGUAUGAAUGUUUGAUUGAGUUUGUAAUUGCAUAUUUGAGUUAUGAGAUAUGAGAAUGUUUGACUAAAUGAUAUAAUGUAUUGAGAUAUUAAGCUUUUGUAUGAUAUAAAGACAUGAGAUAUUUUUUAUAUUGUGUACUGAAAAGGAUGUUAUUUAUGCACAAAGAAAAUCUGUAAAGUAUGUGAAAUUGAAUGAUAUUGAUUGAUACCACAACAAUGGUAAUUUGAAAGAUUGGAACACUGUUUCCAUUUAUUGAGAUAUGAUUAUGCAUAAGAUUGUGUGGCAUAUUGCAUAUGCAUUGGGUUGGGAUUUUGUGGUUGACAGAGGAGUUCGUGGAGUACCAGCGGCAUAUUAAGUUUGCAUUAUUCGUAGUCAGUGCACUGCAUCUGGAGUGUUGAGGGGAAUGACAAUUUAUCGCAUUUUUAUUGGCAGCUUGUCUGUAUUUUUACUUGUAGAAUUUUUUGCAUACUAUUAUCGGUGGUUUUAACUACAACGGGUUUAAGCCAAUAAUGUUUUGGAGUUCAAAUGACGGGUUCUGGGAAACUCGUGGUGUGUAGCGAAUGGUAUGUGUAUGAACCUUUUUGUAUUGCAUCAUGCUCACAAUAUAUUCAAAUGUUAUUGAUUUAUGAUAUGUGUCGUGUUCAAUGGUACCGAAAUUAAUAAUUGUUACUCGAAUGAAUGAUGUCCCAUGCUCAUACACCGUUUGACAUCGAUAUUGAUAAUGGCUAUGUAAUUAUAUGAAAAUCCUAUGAUAUUAUGUUUUCUUCUAUUAAAGCUAAUUUGUUUCACUGUAUUCGAUAUUAAUGUUUGUUUAAAUAAUUGUUUGACUCACACUGAACUUUUCAUAAGCUCACUCCAAUAGUGUUUAACUUUUUAGGUAAACCUCGAAUUUAGGAUCAGACUUGGCAUUCAGAGAAUCACCUUGGACCUCGGACUAUUCUUAAUAAGUAUUAUUAAGUCUUUAUUGGUUUUGGCUUGUAAUUUUUAAUUAUUUCUGGUCUGUGGCUUGGUAACUUUUCAUUUGGGGAUUUUUGCAUACAUGGAUUACUCAAGCAUAAUAACCUGAAAAAGCAUGAUAUCUAACUUAAGUAAAAUUUGCAUUGUUUCCUAAUUUUUGCUGUAUUGCAAAUGAACCAUUUUUGAAAAACAAAUCGAUAAGGCAACUAAGUUUCCAAAAUGACUUGAAAAAUGGUUUUUUUCGUUGCAUUAGUUUAACAUCGAGUUUUUACAAAGAAGAUGACAAGAAAACAUUUUUUUUCUUAAACAACACUAUCAAUAAUAAAAUGAGUCUUAAUUAUAGAUUAUCUAAUAAAUGAACUCUUUUAAAAUAACUCAAAGCACAAAUACGGUUUUUCUUUAAAAUGAGUUUAUUUAAAGUAUACAAAAGUAAUGUAAGUUAGCUUAACUAUUUUAGUGGCUAAUGUAGCCUUCUCAAUCUAGCCAUAAUGUCUAGGUCGGGUUAGGGAGGUUACAGGUUAUUUGGGUUUGUGAUGAUGGUAAAUGUUACGAAUGAGUUUUAAUGGUGUUCUUUUGAUUUAUAAGCAGUGGUUGCUGUAGUUCCUUAAUGGAUCUAAAGUUGAAGCUGUUGUUCAUAGUUGUCAGGUGAGUCUCUACAUUGACUCUUGCAUGUAUACUGUUCACAUGAGAUAUCUUUGUAGAAACUUAUUAAACGAUGAAACUGAAGUUAGAAAAGUAUAAUAUGAUGGUCAUGUAACUAUAUGAUUGAAUGCAUGUUAUGGUAUGAAAUCUGAGAAGUAGGUUUGGUCAUAUAUGUGUGUCUUAGAUGUAUUUUAUAGGUAUGUUCUAUUAAGGGUAAGUUGUGGAGUUAAAGAUGAAGGUGAAUUGUGUCAGUGCAAAAAGUGUCAAUCAAGAGAGUUUAUGUCUGUUCAUCGCGGUGGAGUCUAAAGGGGUUCAUCAGGACUAAAAACACGAUAUUUGAUAUGAAUAUUGAAGGAAAAUCCCAUAGUCAUGACACCUUCCAAAAGGAUCUAAAGGACUGUGAUUACCUAAUGAGGUUCUCCUUGUGUCCUAGGACGAUGAUGAGAAAACCUUAUAUAACACGAGUUUAGGAAAAUCCAAAUCGUAAACACAUCAGGAAAUGAAUGCCUAUGUGUCGCAAUAUGAAAGUGACGCUUUUGUGGUGAAUCAUGAAGGGAUAGCUUCUGCGGUGAACCUUGCAAUGAUAGACUUUAUGGCGGAAUAUGAAAGGAAUGCCUUUGUGGAAAACUCCGUAAGGAAUACCUCUAUGGUGCACUCUUAAUAAUCGCCCUUGUGGCGAAUAAUGAAUCAAUAGCAUGUGUGAAAAAUUCUAACAUGAUAGCCUUUGUGGCAAAAACUUGAAAGAACGGUGUACAUGGCGAAAUUUGAAAGCAGUGUCCUUAUGACGUAUCCUAGUAAGGCUAGCGAUGGCGUAACCUAAAGGAAUGAUUCUUGACAGAUUCUGUAUUAAAUUGCUUGGCGUGUUCAACAUGGCUUGUAAUUGUGAUUAGAAAGAUCUAUAAGGCAUAAUUUCUCUAUAAGCUACGAUAAAGUGUUAUACAAUACCAUGAUUUGACUGUGAAUAAUGAAGUGAUGAGAUAAAGAAGAAGUGAUGGGUAAACGGAAAAGAAGCAUUUUCUAAAUAAGGAUUUUUUUAACCAUAUAUAUCAGAAGGAAUGUACUUGUUAUGUAUAGGUGAUCAAACAUGGAUUGUGGAAUGACGGCUUAAAAUUAUGUAUACAAGAGUAAGGGUGAUUCGGUCGUGUGGAUAUCUAUAAAGGAAACGGGUAAAGAAUUUUGAAUGUUCAGAUUGAAAGAGGGAAGUGGUGUAUCAAAGAUGUUGAUGGGUAAGAAAUGAGCUCCGAGUAAGGUAUGGUAUUUGACGUGUAAAUGAGAAUAUAAAUUGAGGGAGUAUUUUCUAGUGGCUAAGUUACCUGUUGAGAUAUGCAGAAAUGACACAUGUAAAUGAUGUUUUCCUCACUAAAUUCUUACGAACUUGUAUCGGUGUGUAAAUGAUGUUUUCCUCACUAAAUUCUUACGAACUUGUAUCGGUGCGUGUUCUGUUACAGGUGAAUUGAUAUGAGUUUGCGCCAAGAGGGACGAUGCUAGGGUUAUGCUUAAGGAGUGGUGUAUUAGGCUAUUAUGUAUACAGAGCAAGUUGACAACGUGUUCAAAGACUAUAAUACUCCUUAGAAAUUCUAUCGGGGCAUCUGUAUCAAAUUAGGGUUUCAAUUUGGAUAUCAUUGUAGUUUAAUUACCUCAUGUUGUAUCUAUAAAUCGUAAAUCGUAGAAGUAAAUUAAGUUUGUGUCUGCAAUUGUGUGGUAAUGCCCAAGAUUCGGAAUUGUUUAAUCGGAUCAGGUUGAGGGCAUUACACAUUCCAAUUAUUUUCAUAAUUUACUACAAUUUGUUCUACAUGUAAGAUUUUUUUUUCGUUGUUUUAUUAUAAGUGUUAUUUAAAUUGUCAUAAUUUGACCAUUGAUAUUAACAAUUGUUAAUAGUAAAUUUGUAAGUGUUUUGUAUUUUCUUUCUAGUAUUAUAUUAUUAUCAAUUGUUGAAUCUGUUAUGCGUUAUAAGUUUUUUUUAUAGUUGAUGUAUUAAAUUAAUGUCAUUUUUGUUGGAUGCUUUGUUAUUAAAACUCACUAAAUUUGUUAACAUUGUUUGUGAUGUUAGUAAUUUAAUAUAUUAUGGCUUCAAUUGAUAAGACACUGAACCAAUUUAUCGAAUUAAUUCACUUGAAUGGAUAAAUUAUUUCAUUUGAUGAUGUCAUAUUUCAAUCAAAAUCUCCUAUGAAGAUGAUAUUUAGGAAUGAUAUCACCUUAGAGGACAUGAAAAGGAGGAUAAUUAGGAAAAUCCAAGCUAGUGAUACUAAAAGGAUACUCAAUAUAAAGUAUGGAUUUGUGAGGCCAAGCAAAAGAGUUGUUGAAUAUUAUGUAAAGGAUCUUAAUGAUGAAGAUCUUGAGAUGAUAGUGUUUGGACACUAGAAAAUUGUCAAUUAGUCGACCUAUCAGUUGAGCUUGAAGAUGUUAACGAUGGAUACAGACUUUUGAUUAUCCAAGUAUAUAACAAUGCCAAUAGUAAAAUAUCAUCCGGAUUUUCCUUCAACCCGCUCAGUUAAGUAUUUACAAUGAUGUCAAACUAGUAGCUGAGUUAAAAGUUAAACCCAUGUUGUUUGAUUAGAUCAAGGAGGUGCAAUCUGUCGAUGCUAAAUUAGCAAAGAAAUUGAAGCUUUCUCAACAAGUUGAUAAUAAGAAUUUUAGUAUUGAUGUGGCAAUCAAAUCAGUGUUUUUGAUAGUGUUGAAUUGAAGAAAUUAAUUUUAUGCGAGGCUCACGAUGGUUCCCUUGCUAUGCACCCUAGUACUGCAAAGAUCUACUGUGACUUGUGAGAAUCAUAUUGGUGGCCCGAAAUAAAAUGGGAGAUUUUCGAAUAUGUUGCUAAAUUUUUGACUUAUUAACAAAUAAAAGCUGAGCAUCAAGUUUUAAUUGGGUUGUUAUAGCCUAUAUCUAUUUUAGAAUGGAAAUGGGAACGAUUUACAAUAGAUUUCAUAGUUGGUCUACCGAAUUCGUCAAAUAAAAGAAAUGCUAUCUGGGUGAUAGUGGACUAAUUGGCAAAGUCUGCUAAUUUUUUGGCGGUUAGAACUGAUUGGUCACUUCUGAAGCUGGUUGAAGUGUAUAUUCGAGAGAUAGUUAGACUCCAUAGUAUGCCUGUGUCUAUUAUCUUCGACCGAGACCCUUACUUUACCUUGAGAUUCUGGAAAUAGUUGCAUGAAUCGUUAGGUAUGAGGUUGAAUUUCAGGACAACAUUCUAUCCUCAGUCUGAUGACCAAUCGACGUGAGUUAUUAAAGUGUUGAAAGAUAUGUUGUGAGCCUGUGUUAUUGUAACGCAUAGGGUUUUGUAAGUGUACAUAGUCGUUAUCAAGUAAUAAGUAAGUAUCGAGUUAUUGUCUCCACAUGGAUUGUAUUUGUGCUAAGUCACUUAAUUUGUAAAAUUAUAUUAACAAUUUGGUAAAUAAAAACACAAUAUAGUUGAUAAGUGGUGAUUAAAAUAUAUUAAACUAAAUGCAAUGAUCCCUAAUGCAAAUUAUCCUAAGUAUGCAAACUAUAUGAAUGAAAUAGAUUUUAGUAAAAUUAAACACAAUUUGCAACAAUUAUAACAUAAAUAAACUACGACAAUUACUUUAAUCAAACUCAAUAUAUUAUCAACAUGCUUAAUAACAUUCGGAAAAACAUUCUAUGGCAACUCGAUCUUUCAUGAGUUUGGAAACCACAUUAGGUCUUUUCAGAAUCCUUUACUUAGUAAAUAUGCAUUUUACUGAUCCUUAUUUACUAAGGAUUUCUUAGCAUUCGUGUGAGGUAAUAGGGACGUGUAAGGUUUGAAACAAUUUAAUCACACAAAUCUAAAAACUAUGUAGAUAAUAAAGCUUGGUCAGAGUUGUUAUGCAACCUUCAAUUUAAUCAGGUCAGGAUCUAAAUUGAGCAUGCACAUUUCAAUUAUGUGUCCAUUAGUUGUCGUCUGGUCAGGAUCGCUCAGCUAAUUCAAGUGCAUUUCAAUCACAUAUGAACCAAAAACAUACUUGAUUUUAAAUGAAAACAUGAUCGAUUGAGGCACAAACAUUAUAAGCAUGAAUCAAAUAAAUAUUAUUUAAUCAAAGCAAUCAUCCUAGCUUAAAUAAAUUUAAGCUAACAUUGUUGUAAACAAUAAUAAAGAACGUAUAGCAAACAUCUUUAUAUUAAAUUAGAGAAAAGGAAGACUAAACCCAAUUCAGAGUGGCUGUCACCCAAGACUCUGACUGACGAGCCGAGCCUCCUUCGUUCCUUUGCUUUGCUAUUUUGCUGAUGGCUCUCCAAGGUGGCCGACCAAGGGUUCUUUAAGAGGUUUAAUUGCUAAAAUCUUUAUGAAGAGAUAAUGCUAGGUGUGGGAAUGGAAAAGGCUAAGAGAAUUUGGAGAAAAGAGAGAAUGAUGUUUGAGGGAUGAUGAAUGAAGGAAUGAAAGGGUCUUAUUUAUAGGUGAGGAGCGGGGGAUAGUUUGCUAAAAAUAAGAGUUUUCAUCUUUUGAAGCAUCUUCCAUGGGUGGCCGGCUAUAAAUUGAGCAAGUUGAGCUGAUUUUUCCUUGAUUUUUGGUCAAUUUGAGUGCCACAACAACUCAAGACUGAGACUCGGUCAAGUGCAAAUCUUCAGGUAAAUCUCUUGUACAAGCCCAAAUUUGCCCGAGGCCCAAAAAACCCAAAACCCAAAUUAAUUAAACCCAAACUAAAUCUACCCAAAUAGUCCCAUUACUAACCCCAAAACUAACUUAAAUGGCCCAAUACAAUUGGCCCAAUAAGCCCAAUGGACCCAAUCACCAGUCAAACUAGGGUUUCAGAAAAUUAAAACCCUAGCCUACUGCCCUCAGCCGCCUAUGCUUCCUCUGACAUCUUCUAGUCUGGCCGCCACUCGUAGCCUCUGCCACCGCCACCUCUGACGCCGAGCCGCCGGUCAAUCACCUACUUCAUCAACGUCAACACCUGCAAACAAGAGAAAAAGCAAUAGAAAAUAAUAGCAAAAAUAUUGUAAAAAAUGGCUAUAAAGCCAUAACCACCACUGUAAACGGGGUCGUCCCCCCCCCCUCCUUCACGAAUAUCAAAAAUAAAAAAAAGAUUGCUUUUCUUAUUCUUCGUUUUUUUCUUUCUUUUUCGAUUUAUUUAUUUUUUGAAAACGUUCUAAAGAAAAACUAUUAAUAAAUAAAAGAGUAAAAGAGAGAGUUUUACGUGAAUCUGUUUGCGCCGUCGGUGGCCUUUCGUCGGCGUCGGAUUCGGACUCAGGAAGAUUCGAGACGCCUUCCCCUUUUGUGGCCUCUUGGCUUAAAAAGGCUCUGCCUUUAUGCAUGCCGAAGCCAGGGUUAAAAAAACCCAUUGCGCACGACUCCGACUACCGCGCCUGGCAGGGCCGAUGGUGGCUCGUUCGGCCAAGGGAGAAAGGGGGAUGAGAGAACUAUUUUUUUCUCUAUAGUAUUUUUUAAAAACACUGAAGAAAUGAAUUUUAAAGAAAAAAAUUGCUUUAAAUAAGGGUUAUGAUACGGCGCCGUUUUGCUGUUUAAAGUCAGGGACCAAAACGAUGUCGUUUUGGCCCUGACCCACAUGGUGACCCGACCCUGGGGGAAGGAUUCGCGUGUUUUCGUUUAUGGGGACAUUUUCUCAAUUGGCCCCUUCGAUUUUGCGGCAUAUUCGGCGUGGUUUUCUUUAUUUUAGUUAAUUUUGGCCACAGAAUUUUACAUCUGUUUCAAUUAGGUCCAUAGACCAUGUGCAUGCGUUGCACUGGAACAGCACCGUUUGACCGGCGCGAGGAAAUUUCCCUUUUGGUCCCUUCUCUUUUGCGCGCCUUACCAUUUAAUCCUUUUGGUUAUUUUUUUUCGUGCCCAAAAUUUAAUUUCGUUUUCAAUUUAAUCCCAUUUUUGCUGUUUAGGUUAUUUUAUUUAAAAUUACUUGUUUUAAUAUUAUUAAUAUCAUUUUACAAUAUCAUUAUUAUAUUAUUAUUGAUAUUAUAAUCAAAUAUUUGUACAUUAUAUACUUAUAUUCUAUAUGUUGUAUCCUAUAUACGUAUUAAUGUAUUUUAUUAUUACAUACAUAUUUUAAAACAUAUAUAUAUUAAUAUAUACAUAUAUACAUAUUUUACGAUAUAUAUAUAUAAGCAUACAUUUAUCCCUUUAUUAUUAUUUAUGUACAUAUUUAUGUAUUUAUAUACUUCCCUAAUAUAUGUUAUAUUUUAUACCUUAUAUUAUGUAUGUCCUAUAUAUAUACGUUUUUAAUUUUCAUAUAUAUAUUUAAUAAUCUUAUAUAUGCAUAUUUUUAAUUUUCAUAUAUACAUGCUUACAUAUUCUUAUAUACACAUACAUAUAUUUUUAUACUUUAUAAUUCUAACAUACAUACAUACAUACAUAUAUAUAUUAUAAUUUUAUUCAUUACUAUUGUUUCAUUUGGUGUUCAUUUAUUUAUUUAUUUACAUGCUCAUUAUUAUUAUUAUUUACUUAAGUGCUUUAGUUUUUAUUUGUUUAUUUACUUUUAUUUGUUGAUUUCUUUUUAUAUAUUUGCCAUCUUAUUUAUUUAUCUUUUCUUAUUUUUCUUGUAUUAUUUUAUAUUCAUUAUUAUUAUUUUACAUUCAUUUUUUACUCGGAUUCGUCAAAAUACAGAAAAUUUCAAAAUAAAAAUAAUAUUUGAUAUUUAGGAUCUUCGAGAGAAUCGAGCCCUAAUGUAUUGGGUUCCGAUUUCCUUCGUUGAAUCUAAAUAAUCGAAGCUAUUUUUUAAAAAACAUCACUAAAAGCUCGUUAUUGGGAAUUCAAUAUGUCGUGUCCUAAUACAUUGGAUAUGACAAGUCAUUUUUUUGAGACGAGAAUUUUUCUUAUAAAUGCAAUAUUCAAUGUUUAAUAUUUUGAGAAAUUGUUCUCCAACGUAUUGGGUUGCAAUUCUUUCACAUGACUUAAACAAUUGGAUACCAUUUUAAAUUUUACUGCGUAAGUUUUUAGACAAGCUCAUUUCGGAAGAAGUAAAAUAUAGUGCAUUGGGUGUGACAUUUUCUCUAUCUGAAAUGAGAGAGUCUUAACGAGUAACUUGAUUUAUAUAAGUUUCAAAAUAAGGAUCAUAUUCUAAAAUUCUUUUAAGUUCUCAAUUUUUGACAUCAAUACAUUAAUUAAUCAACUAGGUACCAAUUUUUGGGCGUUACGAGGGUGCUAACCCUUCCUCGUACGUAACCGACUCCCGAACCCGUUUUCUGAUUUUCGUGGACCAAAAUCAUCGUUUUGAUAAAAUCAAUUCUUUAUUAAAACAACCAUUUUUUAAGGUGGCCCGAUCACACCUUAUCAAAAAAGAUUGGUGGCGACUCCCAUUUUCGUUUUCAUUUUUCAAAACCCAAGUCGACCCCGUUUUCAUCCAAAAAACGGUGUCAACAUCUCUAAUUUUUCAACUCUUCAAGGACCUUGUGCAAUUAAACCAAAGAGUGGUUUAUGGACAGCCAUGUGCAGCAAAAUUUUGGGGUUGGCUUGGUCUCUAAUUUGGACGAUUUUGUAAUCCAACAAAGCUAUCAGACCUGUCCAAAAUAAAUCAACAAGUUAAAGGACCAAAGAAUAAAAUUUAUCCAAUUUAAUCAAUUUAUUAAAAACCCAAAUUAUUAAUGAAAUAUUUUAAAAUGAAUUGUUAAAUAUAAUCUUAUAUUUUAUUAUUUAAUUUAAUCAUGCAUGACCCACUUUAUGUCUUAAAAAAUAUAAUAUAUUCAAAUUAAUAUAAAACAAGCCAUUUAUUGCAUGAAAACUAUAUAAUAAAGCAUAAAAUCACAUUUUAAUAAUUUCUAUGUCCUAAUUUCAUAUUUUCACAUAUUUCAUUAAUUUAUUAAACAAUUACUUAGUUUUAACAACAGAUUUAAGUAAAAAGGUGAUAAAUUACAUAGGAAAAAUCCUAUAUAUUUUUCUAUUUACAGUUAUUGAUUUUGAAUCUGGCUUAGAACAUUAUUUACCAUUAAUUGAAUUUGUAUAUAAUAAUAGUUUCUAAUCGAGCAUUCAAAUGGCUCCACACAAAGCAAUAUGUGAUUGACGAUGUAGAACGCCCUUAUGUUGGUCAAAAUUGAGAAAAAUAUCAUUGGGCCAGAAUUAAUUUAGGAAGGAGAAGAUGUAGCUAAGCUGAUCAAAGAUAUUUAUGGAGUAAGUAAAUAGAUGAAUUGAAAUUUGGUUAAGUAAUUUAGCCAAAAAAGUGGUUAAUUAAGGCCAAAGGACUAAAUUGUAAAAGUCCAAUCGCUAUAGAUUUUUAAUUAGGAAAGGGCUUUGGGACUUAAAUAAAAAUUAUCCAAGGGACUAAAAUGGUUAAUAAACCAUCUUAAAAUAGAAGUUAAUGGACGGUGAUGAUGGAUGUCAUUAGACUAAUUAAUAUAUAGAUUAAUUAAGUUAAAUCAUGAUUAAGAUUAAUUAAUUAUGAUUAAACAUGUUAAUUGAAGUAUAAAUAGAAAACAAAAUGGAAAGAAAGAUAAAGAUGCUAUCAUCUUCUUCGUCAAAUUGUAGAAACCAAAGAAAAAGAAAAGAAGAAAGCUUUGGGUUUUCAAGCAUUCGACCAUUCAAUUGCAAGUAAGUCUCUAGCCAUUUUUCUUUGAUUUUUAUGGAAAUUGAAUCAUGGGAGCUUGAUUCAGCUAGCCCAUGUAUCAAUUUUUUCGAUUGGUGAAAUUUUGGUAAGUUUUCAUUAUGGAGAAUUUGAUGAAUUAGGUGUGAAAUUGAUAGAAAUUAAGUUUAGAUUAGGAAAAUGACUAAAUUAUAAAGCUUAACAAGAUUGAUUGUUAGUUUUGUUACAUUAGAGAUCAAAUUGAAUAAAAUGUAAAACUUUUAGAAAAUUAUGGUAAGAUUAAAAAGUAGAAAGUCCCUAAUGAGUGAAUGUGAAAUCAAAUUUUAAUCCGAAGCUUGAUAUUGAAAGUUAUGCUUUCCUAAGUUUAGGGGCUAAAUUGAAUAAAUUGUAAAAUAUGUUUGACUUUGUAUUUAAAUGUGAUUUGGGUAUAAUUUGAUAUUGUGUCAUUGUUGAAUUAUUAUUUGUAACUACAAACGACGACAAGCCAUCAAGAGGGAAAGGAAAUAUGAGAGUUGACGAUGAAAGAUGCGAGCUUUCGAUUUGUAUUUCUAUGAUUCAUGAUCAAUUUAAUUAUUGCACAUUAUGAUAUUUUGCAUAAUAUGGUAUUGAGGUGAGUUGACCAUGAUUAAUUGAAUUGUUAUGUUUGAGAUUAAUUAUCGAGAUAGAGGACUAAAUUGAAUAUAAUAAAAAAUAGCAUGACUUAAUUGAUAUAUGAUAUUGGUAUGAAAUUAAGCUGAAACUUGUUAUAUCAUAUGAUUAAUUGAUGAUAAGUUGAGUAUGUUAAAGUAUGAAUUGAACUAUGUGAUUAAAUUGAAAAAUUGAUUAGGCUAUUAAUUGUUUGGACAGAGUCGGAUAUAGUUAGCAUGCCAUAGGAUAGAUUGAGUAUGGAUUACUUCGACUAUAUGUCGAUGAGUGCUAUGAGUAUUUUCCUUCAGACGUUUUAAUGAGGCACUAUGUGCCAAAUUUGGCGUGUUGGUUGGAAUUCGUAUAUCCGUUUGAGUCUGAGUCUGGUUAAUAGGGGUAUAAUAUGUAAAAUUGAAUAAUUGGUAUAUGAAUUGGAUUGAUAAUGUGAUCUGGUGACAAAACAAUGAAUUAUGAUAUAUAAAUAUCAAUAGAAUGAAAAAGAUCAUGCAAAUCGAAUAUACGAGCCUAGAGGGUCGUUUUGAAAACAUGAUGAAUCAAUUGAUUCGAUUUGCAAAUGACAUGUUAUUAAGAUCAAAUCUUGUGAAUCAAAUAGAAAUUGUAAGCAUCAAUGUUACUAGUAUUUUAACAUGAAAUAAUCUUUAGAUUAGUAGAUUGAAUUGAUGUAUGGAUUGAUUCAUAUGAUAUAUUUGGUAAUCUUAGUUGUAUAUGUUAAUUAACAAGUUGAUUGUGAAUUGGUAUGAAUGGUAUAUUGGUUGGAUAGAAAUGGGAUUCAAAUUGAAUGUAUGCAAUUGACUUGAAUCAUGGAAAUGCCACUGAGCUUUAUUGCUCAAUGUACGAUUUAUUUCUUUGAGCAUAGGUAUAGGUACAACUUGAGGUUUUGAGAAGUGAUUCCAACAUCCAACCAGAGAUCCUCGACUCAACAAUAUUUAUAUAGUCUCUCUUUGGUGCAUUAUAUGACAUGUACCUAGGUCAGGUCGGUUUUACAUAUUGUACGAACUUGUUAACUUUAGAAGUUAGAAUUGGUAAUUUGGUAUAUUUGAAAUGCAUGAGGUGUUUCAAAUUUGUAACCAUAUGUAUUUGCAAGUAUGCCAAAGGGUUAAAAGGUUAUCAACAUGGUAAUUACUUGUAUGUUUGAAUUAAAUGGUGAAAUGGAAGUAACAUUUAUGCAUAAAUUGUGUUAAAUGCUAUUAAAUGCUUAGGAAAGAGUAUUAAAUUAUGGUACUUUGCUUGGUUGAAUGAAUGGAUGGAAUAGGUACCAAUUUGGACCAUCUAGAAACAGACAGUCAUGUCGCAACGUCGGACCCUUGUUGUCGCGACAAGACCUAGUCAAUGAGUUGUGUAGCAACGAGGAACCCCUGAAGUUGUGAUGUCAACUUGACAUUUUGAAUUCUUUACAGUUUGGUCCUAUUUUGACCUUAGGUUAGCAAAAAAGCUUUCAUAAGCUCGUAUAAGACUUGAAAAUGAUUACUUAUUGUAUUAUAUGCAUGUUUUACUUGUAUUUGAAUAUAAUUAAUCAAGGUGUUACACAAAAACACCUUAAAACUUGAGUGACUAUUGGAGUAGUUUACCCCCAAAAUGCUUUUCUUGGCUCUAUAUAUCCAAGUUGAAAAUUUUUAACUAAAAGGGAUUAGGAUCAUCAAGUCAUCAACAAUUUUUCUUUGGGUUAAUGCAUUAUUUGGGGCCAAAACUUGACAAUUGUUUUCACACUAUGGAUUGAAUUUUUUUUGUCCAAGUUAAUCCUUGAUAUUUCAUUGAAAACCUUAAAGCUCAGGGACUAACUUAGAUAAAAAAAAUCAAUGACAAAUUUGGAUAAAAAAAUUAGACUCUAAUAUGGAAAUAAUUAUCAAAUUCAAAGAUUAACUUAAAUAAAAAAAAUUCAAAAUCUAAUAUAAGAAUAAUUAUCAAAUUUAAAUAUGAUUUAACCAUUUCAUAUAUAUAUAUAUCCAAGUUUAAAAUUUUAAAGUAAAAGGGAUGAUGAAUGUCAUAGGAAGAAGCCUGCAAACUCUAUAAGCAAUGAUUUAGACUAAAUAUGUUUUUUUGCAUCUUAGACUAGAUAUGUUAAAUACAUGAAAAAUAAAAUAAAUUAAGAGAUAAGUUGAGGCUGACUUGGUCCUACUAAUUGAUAAUCUAGAAAACGCGUGAUCUGUUUAAUCUAAGUCAAUGUCGUUUGGUUUUGCAUCCUGAACAUAGUAUCAAUUAACCUUCCAAAGUGCAAAUCAAUCUAUUCUAUUCGCUUUACCCUUUUUCCUUUCGGAGGGUUGGGCCUACUUGGCCUUCCCUUGUGUCUUGAAAUUUAUUUCUGAAAGUUGACUCAACACCCAACCAGAUCACCAUCAUUUUCUUGCUUUUUAUUUCAUCAAUUAAAGCAUUUAUAGAGGUAAAUCCUAAAUCACUUUUUAAUUCUUCUGUUAAUUUGAUAGAGUGGAACGAAAAAUUAAAAAAAAAAUUGUAAAAUUGAAUGAGUUGAAAAAAGAGAGGAAAAUUAAACAUUUUUUUCUUUUUAUUAGUGUGUUUAAUAAGAAAAAAUGAAAAAAAAGUUGUAAUUUUGAAAUAAUUUACAAUUCUCUCUUCUAAAUUAAAAUGAUAAUUUAUGUUAUUUUCAAUCAAAUAUAUUUAAAUUUUAUUUCUCUUCUAUCUUCAAAAUUCCCACUCAAUCAUGCAAGGGUUCUUAAAUUGCAAGUUGGAAAUUACUUUCUAACAGCAGUUUUGUAGUUGUUAUUAUCCAUCCUCUCACUAUUCAAGACUUAAAAUCUGGGUUUACUAUCAUCCGAAACUUUCCUGUCAUUUUAUAUCUUUCCAGCUUUUGUACUUUUUAGUUACUCUAUUUUUAUUUUUUAAAAUAUAAUUAUUAAUAAUAUGAAAGUUAAUAAAUCUUAAUUGAUAAAAUAAAAAAAAGGUAAUAAUUCCUGUUUGUUGUUAAAUUAAAUUAAAGUAAACAAUGUUCUCGUAUCGUAUUUUAUUCUUCUGCAGUUAUGCAUUUCCUCCGUUCCAAAUCAAAACAAAAUGAAAAUGUAGAUAACGAAUUCCAAAGUCCAUAAAAAAAAAAAAACUUGUAUACAUAGGUUUUUCUGGGAAACCCUAACACACAUUUGGAAUCAUAUUUCCUUUUAUUUAAUAUCACAUAUUAAAAACAUAAUUAUCCGUUUAGAGAAACAUGUGGAAAAUUAUUAAAACAUUAUAUCCUUGCCAAAGGAAUAUUAACUUCUAUGUUUUAAUUAUAAUAAUUUCGGUAAACUAUAUUCAGUUAAUAUGAAACUUUUAUAAGAAUCAAAUUCAUAUAUUAAAUUUAACUGUGCUCUCUAUUCUUGUACAACAAAUUUGUACACGUAACGCAUUUAAUAGUUAACUGUCAACUUAAAUUAAUUCAAUAAUUAAUUUAAAUCAUGUGAUAACUAAACAUAAUGCCAAUUGUGUUUGGAUUCUGUUUGCUUCAAAUAUAGGGUGUGACCCUGUAGGCUCUUGUAAUGUUGGUAGUAAUAUUACAACAUUUCUAAUGUUACAAGCAAUGAGUGAAUCUAGCAAUGCAUCAUUGCUACCCAAGUUACAAGAAGUCAUGAAUCGAUAUAACUUUUCUGUGAUAAAUUUUUAUAUAUUAUAUCCUUUUAUCCUUUAUAUUUGGAAUGGACACAAAUCAUGGAACAAUCACACUUGUAUAGUCCAAUCUCAUAUUUCUUAUAAUUGUGAGUAGACUACAAUAAACAAAUAAGUCUAAUAUAUCAUAUCAACUUAUUUUAGCUUGACCGUGCAUUUCUAGUCUCACUCCAUCAAAUAGCCUAAAAUAUUGCUCCCAUCGUGUAGGAGGGACAAAUUUUAUCUUGAUCAAUCAUAUCCCACUACAUAGAUUGUGGCAUAUCCAACAUCAGUCUUUAUAGUACAACCUGUUACGGUAGAUGUUUGACUGUAUCAAAAGAUAUGACUCACGAUGUUGGGACAAUGAUGAACUCAAGUCUGAGGAUCGUAUACACAGUUAUCACUACGAGUAAUGUUGUGACUAUAACAUAAUAAUUCAAGAAAUAUACUCAUAAUGGGUCAGUCCAGUAUGUUAUUCUCCAACACAUACUCAUGUAUUGAUUUUGACAUCUUUAUGUCAAUGGCAACACUUUUCCAUCAAUCAACUACACAUUAGUUUUAAUGCAUUAUUAUUGUCCAAGCCCACAAUAAUACUUGACUAAGGACCUUUUAAGAAUACUCAUAUCAUUCUCAGGACUUUAUUAUUAAUUAGUUUAUUUACAUACACACAAAAAAGAAACUAAAAUAACAAUGACAAUGCCUUAUAUUAGCAAACAAGGUAAAACAAGUAUGUGAUUACAAUCAUAUCAUGAUUGGUGUUUGGGUCUACUCUAACAACUUGAUUAUAGGAACGGAAAACUAUUGAUGAAGGCAUACUUGAAGAAUUAUUUUGUAAUGACUCAAUUUUUGUCGAUGUUAGAAAAAUCAAUUUCAGGGUUGAGUAUGAAAAGGCUAGAUGCCUAAGAAGUUGAAUUGAGAGAAUUACGGGCCAAAAUGAGUAAGUGUUGAACAUGGUGAUGAAUGAAAUAUAUAUAUUGACAAACAAAUUGAGUAGUCCCAAUUCUCAGAGCGUUGUGAACUUAUAUUGAUGUAUAGAUUUGUGUAUCCAUUCUAAUGCUUGUAGUCGAUUAAUAGAGGCCAACCAAAGUAAAGAAAUGAGAAUAUGGUAGUUAAUGGGCGUCGAAACCACCAAAUAUAAAUUUCUAUGACAAAAUAAUAGUAAUUAGUAGUAUAGAGUAGUAGGGUCGAAUCCACAGGGAUUGACUAUCUAAUUUUGCCUUUUUUCGUGACCAGAGUCGCUGUCGCGGUCAUAGUUGUGCCCAUGACUUAUGUGUAGAAAUGCUGGAAAUAAAAAUAAAAAUAAAAAUGGAGGGUUUAAAUUGAUUAAGAUAAUAAAAUAAGCAAAUACGAAAACUAAAAUAAAAACAGAUUUGAAAAUACAAAAAUAAAUUUAAUAAAAUAAAACAAAUGGAUAAAUAAAAUAUUUUUUAAGCGUAGCCUUAGCCUCAGUGUACUCCAAUCUUGAAUUGAUCCUUGAAAUAGAUUUUCCCUUCCAAGUAAUAAGCUAGUUAUUGCGACCAAGAACGUACCGAUCGCUAACUUUUCCUUAUGUAGUCAAUCCCAGCACAACCUGCAAACCGACUCUUGCCAAAUUUCUAAUUGCGAUACACGUGUACGCAAUCUAAGAUUUCGACAGCCUUGCGAUCUAAAAUGCUCAACUCGAAUUAACGGCCUCAAUUGCGUGGGCCGUUUAAAUUCGAUCUCUAUCUCCCUUGACGGAAUCCAACUGGCUUUUGCCACCUAGACACACCAAUUUGAUUGCAGGAAUUCGAACACAACACGACUGAUUCGUCUUCCCAAUUGUACGCCAAACAACUCCAACCCAACGUGCACUUUUUGAAUCGGAGCUGAAUCAACUUUAAAGGAUGAAUUUGUACUAUCUCAUAUACUGGAGAGAUAGAAAAUACUGCGUUGAGAGGUUUUUUGACCGGGCUAUUAUCUCACAAUUGUUUUGUUGGAGCAAUUUCUGGGCUAAAGCUAAAAAGGGUUUAGUUAAUCAUUGAAAAUAUCAUGCUUUGAAAAUAGAUUUGUGGAAUUGUGGGUGGUGGAAAGGGGAAGGGCCUUGGAAGACAAUUAAAUCAAAAGAUUCAAAGUAAAAAAAAUGAAACAAAAUAGCAAUAGUAGGAUGAAGAUUGCACAGGAAAGGGGAGAAAAAAAAGAAUUUAUUAAAUGCCAAGGUAAAAAAGUGUGUUCAAUUGGUUGUAGCCAUUAGGAAUUUAUACACACUUUUAGUGCUAAAAUUUAGCUAGAUUUUUCCUAAAUAUUAUCACUAAAUAUUAUCGCCAAAUAAUUCUAAAUAUUAUCACUAGAUAAUUUAAAAUUUAAAAAUCAAAUUUAAACUAGAAUUUAAACUAAUUACAGAGUUGUAACAAUAUAAAAAAUCCUUCAAUCUUUAUCCAACCACUUGUAAAAAAAUCUUCAACCCUUCAAUCUUUAUCCAAUCAUCUUUGAAUAUUCAAUCUUUCAAUCAAGCCCUCCACUUUGCUUUUUGUUCCAAUUUAGCCACUUUUUGUAAGAGUUUGAAUUUGGCACAUCAACUUCAUUCCUAAUAAGAAAAAUCCAAAUUUAAUAGCAUUUUAUUUGAUAAUUAGCCAAAAAUAAAUAUAUUAAAAAUAAAAAUUUAUCUUGCUAUCGAAUUCCCCCUACUUAGCUGAUGCUUGUCCUCAAGCAUGAUAUCUACUAAAAAUAAUUCAUCAAUCCUUUUCAAAACCAAAACCCCCUUUCCUAGUCAAGCAUACUACAAACAAUAGGUGAAUAAAAAAUAAACAACUGCUAAACUCAAUCAAUAAACAUUUUAUAAAAUCUCGAACAUUAUGUCAAAUUCAACUAUUUCACUAAAUUUAGGCUUAAUCAAACAUGCAAAACGAUCAUACCCAAUAUAUACUUUUAUUUAUAUCUAUUUACAUUUUUUUUGUUUAUUGUUUAUUGUUUAUUGUUUUCAAACGUAGUCAAGUCUUUUGACGUGAAGUGAAAUGACAACCAAGCACCUCACCCCGGGUACUCAACCCGACACGUUCUCUUUAUUUAUUUUUAACAAAUUCGAGACAUAAUCAAAUCUUUUGAUGCGAAAUGAGAUGACAACCCAAGCACCUUAUCCCGGUUACUCAAUUUCACAUUUCCCUAUUUGAUUUAUUUCUUCUUUCUCAAGGCAGCUCGAUUAGCGGAGUGUUACAAGCUUUGGCUCGUCACCAAACCUUUUGACGCGAAAUGAGAUGACAACCCAAGCACCUCAUCCCGAUUACUCAACUUGGUCACAUUUCUGAAUCUUCACUCUUAACCAAGAUAUUAGCAUAUUUAUUUAAAAUGAGUACUUUCGUUAGGCAAGUUAAAAAAAAAAACCAACAAUGAAAUAUUGUCCAAGGCAUAGCAUUUUCAAUUCUACAAAAUAUUCAUUGAUCAAGCAAGCAAUAGUUAUUCAUGAUUCACCCACUUAUUUAAAUAAACUAAAUAUAAGAAUUAGAGGUUUAUUUUUGAAAUGACUUAAGAAAUUAUUCUUGGCAAAACAUAUGCAAAAAAAAAGUAUGGCACGAUCACGAUCCCCCCUCCUUAGCCCAAAUUGCCCCCAAUGUGCAAAAAGAAUAACAAGAGUGGAGAAAAGUGUACUCCUCAUUUAUUUUAAUGGGCCGGAGGACGGUGGAAGUCACCACUUUGAAAAAUGGUGAGGAUGCUUGAGAUGUUGGCUUCCAUUGUUUCGAGACGAGCUUUAAUGCGAUGAAGUCGUUCAUCUACAGUUGAAGGUGGUUGCUCCUGGAAAACAACAUGAUCAAACGAAUUAAAAUAAUAUUUUAUUUAAUUCUCAAACUAAACUAGAAUUCAAAAUAAAAUAAAAUAAAAUAUAAAAUAAAUGUGGGUUGCCUCCCAUAAAGCGCUUUUGUUUAACAUCGUUAGCUCAGCGACCUAAAAAAUUUAAUUGUUCGGCUCCUAGAAAAAUAACUCCUCCACCACAUGUACUUGAAAAUUCUCGUAAAAAGGUUUUCACCUUUGACCAUUGACUUUAAAAUAUUUCUCAAAUUCCUCACUUUUAAUUUCAACUACAUCAUGAGGAAUUAUUUUAGUAAUAGCAAAAUGAUCAAGCCAUUUGGUUCGAAGCUUACCCAAAAAAAUUCUCACUGUAGGAUUGUAAAGUAACACUUUUUGGUCAAUUGAAAAUUCUUUGCGAGAUAUUUUUUGGUCAUGAAACGCCUUGGUUUUUUCUUUAUAAAUUUGAUAUUUUCAUACAUGCCUCACCGGAUCUCUUCGAGUUCUUGAAUGUCUAAUUUUCAAUAAUUACUUGCGGCGUCCAACUCCAUGUUGUAUAUUUUCAUCGCCCAAAAUGCCUUAUGUUCUAACUCUAGUAGAAAGUGACACGGUUUACCGAAUAUGAGUCUACAAGGGGACAUUCCAAUGGGUCCUUUGUAAGCAGUACGGUACGCCCCCAAUGCAUCUUUUAAACGUAAGCUCCAGUCUUUCCUAUUUGGUUGCACGGUCUUUUCCAGAAUUGACUUUAUUUUACGGUUUGAAACUUCCACUAGACCAUUUGUUUGUGGGUGAUAAGCUGUGGCCACACGAUAUGUAACCCCAUAAUUUUCAGUAGAGUAUCAAUUACCUUGUUACAGAAAUGAGUUCCUUGAUCACUGAUUAAUGCUCUUGAUGUGCCAAACUUGGAAAAAAUAAAGUUCGUUAGAAAAUCCACUACAGUUUUAGCAUCGACAUGUCAGGUAGCUUUAGCUUCUACCGACUUAGGUACGUAAACUACAACAAGAAUAAUGUAAAAAUUGUUAAAUGAUGAAACAAACGGUCCCAUAAAAUCGAUGUCUCACAUAUCAAAAAUUUCAUAUACAUGUAUAAGUAUUAGGGGCAUCUCACUCUUUUGGCUUAAAUUCCCAACUUUUUGACAACUCUCGCAAGUUUUGUAAAAUAAAUAAGCGUCAUAAAAUAUGUGUGGCCAAAACAAUCCACACUCAAGUACCUUAUGUACGGUGUGUUUCUAACCAAAUUGCCCUCCACAAGCAUAAGAAUGACAAAAAGAAUGGAUAGAUUGUACCUCCGUUUCUGUGACAUAUCGUCCUGAUCGGAGCAGUGUUUCCAUAGGUAUGGAUCGUCCUAAAUAUAAUAUCGUGAGUCUCUUUUGAGCUUGUCCUUUUUAGAAUGUGAUAGGUUGGAAGAGACAAUACUUGUAACGAGGUAAUUUACCAUAUCUACAAACCAUGGGUAAACUGUUUGAGCUGAUAGAAGACUUUCAUCUAGGAAGUCAUCUUUGAGAGGUAUGUCAUCUUUUGAAAAGGGAAUUUAACUCAAAUGAUCAGCUACUAAGUUCUCACUUCUUUUUAUCCUUGAUCUCAAGAUUGGAUUCUUGUAAGAGAAGAAUCCAUCGAAUCAACCUUAGUUUUGCCUUUUUUUUCCCGAUGAUAUAUUUCAACGCUUCAUGGUCAAAAUAAAAAAUAACUUCAGUGCCUAAUAAUUACGAUCUAAAUUUUUCCAAAGCAAAAACAAUAGUUAAUAAUUCUUUUUUAGUAGUUGAGUAAUUGCUCUGGGCAGCAUCUUGUGUUAGAGGCAUAGGAUAUGACAUGAGGGUCCUUCCCAAUUCUUUGCCCAAGGACAGCUCCUACAUUUUGGUCGCUUGCAUCGCACAUGAGCUCAAAAGGGUAGUCCCAAUUUGGAGGCUAUAUUAUUGGAGCUGAAACAAGCUUUUGUUUGAAAAUGUCUAAUGCAUCUUUGCAUGCUUGAUCAAAUUUGAACUCUUUAUCUUUUUACAAGAGAUUGUAGAGCAGUCGCGAAAUCUUAGAAAAGUCCCUAAUAAAGCACCUGUAAAAACCUGCAUAACCAAGAAAUGAACAAAUUUCCCUCAUAGUUUUGGGGUAUGGAAGCGAGUUAAUAACAUCAGUUUCGGCCUUAUCGACUAUGAUCCCUUCAGCGCAAACAAUAUGCCUUAAAAUAAAUCUUUUAUCUACCAUAAAAUGACAUUUUUCAUAAUUAAGAAUUAGAUUAAAUUGUAGGCAUCUUUUCAAAAAUUUAACGAGGUUUGACAAAUAUUCAUUGAAAGAAUUACCAUAAACUGUAAAAUCGUCCAUAAAUACCUCAAUUAUUUACUCGACAUAGUCAAAAAAUAUACUUACCAUACACCUCUGGAAUGUGGCUGGUGCAUUGCAAAGUCCAAACGACAUUUGUCUAUAGGUAAAUGUGCCAAAGGGGCAUGUAAACAUUUCUUUCUCUUGGUCCUCCAGUGGCACUGGAAUUUAGAAAAAACUUGAAUAACCAUCAAGACAACAGUAGUGAGUUUUUUCGCUAAACGUUCUAACAUUUGAUUAAUAAAAGGAAGUGAUAAGUGGUCAUUUCGAGUUAAAGAGUUUAACUUCCUGUAAUCUAUACAGACUCUCUUGUUGCAUUUUUGAACUCGAGUGGAAACUAAAUCUCCUGUUGCAUUUUUUAUUACAGUCAUACCAGUUUUCUUGGGUACCACAUAAAUUGGGUUGACCUAAUUACUGUCAAAAAUUGGAUAGAUCAUCUCAGCCUCCAAUAGCUUUUGAAUUUCCUUUUUGACAACCUCCACCAUUGGUGGAUUAAGGCGUCUUUGAGCUUCUCUAUUUGGGUUUGGAUUUUCUUCAUCGGUAUUCUAUGCAUACAAGUCGAGGGGCUUAACCCUUUUAUGUCGACAAUUGUCUAUCCGAUAGCCCCUUUAUAGUCUCUUAAGACUCGAAUCAAAUUCUCCUCUUCUAACCCCAAAAGUUUACUUGAAAGUAUUACUAGUAAAGUGUUUCCAUUACCUAGAUAGGCAUACUUCAAAUGUUCUGGCAAUGGUUUAAGCUCUAUUUCUAGGGCUUACAAAAUAGAAGGCAACAAUUUAGUUUUAGAAGGAGAAAGUUCAAAGUACUUACCUUGACUUCUAGGGAAUUAAGGAGUCUCCAAUAGAACAACGAUUUCCCGAAUCAGUUCUUUAAACGUCAUUAUCUCCUCCAAUUUAUCCAUCGUAUUAAUAUUUAAAAUUUUGAAAAGUACAGUUUGUAAUUCAUCCCCUUCAUAAUACUCAAAAUGAAAUUUCCUUAGUGGUUUAAUAAUAUCAAUGCUAGAAAUGUUUGACAUUUUAUUGGGUUGGCCCAUCGCCUCAUAAACAUUAAUUUUUACCACCUCACUGUUGAAUUCCAUAGUGAGGGCUAAACUACAAACAUUAAUCUUUGUACGCGUGGUACUUAGGAAUGAUCUCCCAGGUAGAAUAUAAAAAGUAUUUUUUAAGUGGUCGUCUUCCAUAUCGGUGAUGUAGAAGUCUGUAGGAAAAAUUAGCUCAUUUACCUUUACAAGGACAUCUUCUAGCACCCAUUCUUGAUAUACGCAUGACCUAUCUUCCAAUUGAAUAAUCACCCCUAUUUCUUUCAAAGGACCUGUGUUUAGCAUAUAAAAAAAUAGAUAAAGGCAUUACAUUAAUUGAUGCUUCUAAAUCACACAUGGCUUUCUUUAUGCCAAUAUUACCUAUUUUGUAAGAUAUAUAAAGCAUAUAUUGGUCCUUACACUUAGGCGGGAUUUUCCUUUGUAGCACUGCAGAAACAUUUUCUCCCAUAUUCAUCCAUUCGUUUCCUUGGAGUUUUUUUUUUACCGGUACACAGUUUCUUCAAAAAUUUUGCAUAGCGUGGAACCUGUUUAAUUACAUCAAGUAAAGGAAUAUUAAUUUCUACCUUUCAAAAUGUCUCAAGGAUUUCUUUUUCCUCUCGUUCCUUUUUAACUUGGGUGAGCCUUCCAGGGUAUGGGGGAGGUACAACAAAUGGUUUAUGAGGUACCAAUUUAAUGGGAGCUGCUAGUUCAGCUUCCUCUCCAACAUCGUGGUCACGACUCGUGCUAGGAACUAGUUUUGACUCUUUCUCAUCCUUUAUAGCCACAACACUUACAUUUGGACGUGGAUUUGGCUCAGCUUGAAAUGGUAAUUUUCCUUGGUUCUCUAAACGACUAACCAUAAGAGCUAACUUACUUAUUUGCUGAUCCAUUUCUUGGAGAUGCGCUUCAGUCUUUUUUUGGAACUUUUUGGUGCUAAUGGCUAACCUUUCUACCAUGGUUUUGAGAGAUGACUUUGGAGAUUGAUAUUGUUGAGUUGGAGGUGGUCUUAAUUGAUAUGGUUGAUUGUAUCGAGCGUUCAACCUACAGCUUAUAUUUGGGUGGUCCCUCCACCUUGCAUUGUACAUGUUCAAAUAUGGAUCAUAGUAUCUUUGAGGUGGCCCUUGGGACUUCCCAACAACAUCUACUUGUACAGUUGUGUCCUCAAGUAAAAUCGGGUUCGAGUCAGUAGGAUGAUCAGGCUUAGCACAAAUCCCACAUAACCGAGCUAGUUUCGUCUAUCCUGUAAGCAUAUUUUUAACCACAUUAGUAAGUUCAUCAAUCUUAUUUACUAUAGAAGGAGUACUUAGCUCAUGAACCUUUCUCGUAGGUUCCACAUGUGCUCGAUACUGUUGAGAAUUUGCAGCCAUGGUCGAAAUUACUUCACUAGCUCUUGGGGGAGUCAUGUUCACAAGAGCCCCUUCACUAGCGGCAUAAAUCGUCUUCAUUUCCAUUAGCAGUAACCCCUCGUAGAAAUACUGUAAGAGUGAUUGUUCAGAUAGGCCAUGUUGUGGGCAACUUGUGCAAAACUUCUUGUAUCGUUGCUAAUAUUCAUAGAGUGAUUCUGCUUCCUUUUGUUGAAUUUCGACUAUACUCCUCAUUAAUUCAGCUGCUCGAGCUGUUGGGAAGAACCUAUCAAGAAACAAUCGAGACAUAUCAGUCCAAGUAGUAACAGAUCCCAGAGGUAAAUAAAACAACCAUUCUCUAGUAGAGUCAUCUAAUGAAAAAGGAAAAGCUCGUAGUUUUAUUUGAUCCUCAGUUACUCCUUCUGGUUUUAUGCUUAGACAAACCAUGUGGAACUCUUUCAGAUGAGUAUAGAGGUUCUCGUUUUUCAAACCGCAGAAAGCAGGCAACAAAUGUAUUAAUCCAGACUUUAACUAAAACGGUGUUUUACCCAUUAGAUAAGUUAUAUAUAUCGAUUGUUGUUCAUCUGGUGCAGCUGCAAGUUGGUGUAUAGUUUGAUUUGCCAUUUUGAUAGAAUCUUCAGAUGAGUAGAUAUCUUCAAUGUAAGAUCCUUUUUCAAAAUUGGGUUGUGGUUGUUUACCGUGCCGAAUAGCUUCUUUUCGAAGCAUUCGAACCAACUUUUCUACCUCUAGUUCCAAUGCUAGAGUCCUCGAUUCUGACUUGGUUAUAAAGGAAACAAACAAAAAUUAGAAAUUUUCAUCAAUCCUUGGCAACGACGCCAAAUUUUUAUGGGUGCCAAAACCAGCAAAUAUAAAUUUCUACGGCAACGUAACAGUAAUUAGCAGUAUAGAGUAGUAGGGUCGAAUAUACAGGGGUUGGAUAUCUAAUUUCAAUUUUUUUUGUGACUAGAAUCGCUGUCGUGGUCAUAGUCGUGCCCAUAAGCUAUGUGUAGAAAUGCUGGAAAUAAAAAUAAAAAUAAAAAUGAGGGAUUUAAAUUGAUUAAGAUAACAAAAUAAGGAAAUAUAAAAAAUGAAAUAAAAAAAUUGAAAAUGCAAAAAUAAAUUUAAGAAAAUAAAACAAAUGGAUAAAUAAAAUAUUUUUUUAAGCUUAGCCUUAGCCUCGGUGUACUCCAAUCUUGAAUCGAUCCUUGAAAUAGAUUUUGCCUUCUAAGAUAUAAGCUGGUUAUAUCGACCAAGAACGUCCUAAUCACCAACUUUUCCUUAUGUAGUCAAUCCUGGUACGACCUGCAAACUGACUGUUGCCAAAUUUCUAACUACGAUACAUAUGUUCGCAAUUUAAGAUUUCAACAGCCUUACGAUCUGAAAAGCCCAACUCGAAUCAACGACCUCAACCGCGUGGGUCGUUUAAAUCCGAUCUCUAUCUCCCUUAACGGAAUCCAACUGGCUUUUACCACCUAGACAUGCCAAUUUUUUUACGGGAAUUCGAACACAACACAGCCGAUUCGUCUUCCCAACUGUAUGCCAAACAACUCCAACCCAACGUGCACUUUUUGAAACGAAGCUAAAUCAACUUUAAAGGACGAAUUUGUACUAUCCCAUAUAUUGGAGAGAUGGAAAACAUUGCGUUUAGAGGUUUGUUGAGGAGGCUGAUAUCUCACGAUUGUUUUAUUGGAGCAAUUUCUGGGCUAAAGCUAAAAAGGGUUUAGUUAAUCAUAGAAAAAAUCAUGCUUUGAAAAUAGAUUUGAGGAUUUGUUGUUGAUGGAAAUGGGAAGGGCCUUGGAAGACAAUUAAACUGAAAGAUUGAAAGCAAAAAAAUGAAACGAAAUAGUAAUAUGAGGAUGAGGAUGGCACAGGAAAUAGAAGAAAAAAAAGAAUUUAUUAAUUGCCAAGGUAAAAAAGUGUGUUCAAUUGGUUGUAGCCCACUAGGUAUUUAUACACAUUUUUAGUGUUAAAAUUUAGCUAGAUUUUUCCUAAAUUUUAUUGUAAUAGUCCAAUUUUGGCCUGGCUAAAAAACAAAUAACAAUCCGAAUACAACUGACCUAAAGCCCAAAUUACAAUCUAACCCAAUUACAAGGCCCAAUUGGCCUAAGGUAACAGAAGCCUUAAGCAGCAGGUAGCCUCGGCGCCGCACGUCCCCACGUUGCUGCAACCGCCCAUCACCCACGAUCAGCAACUCCGCAUAACGCCGAUUCCACCUGCAAUAAAUCAAAGGGAGGGAUUGAUCAAAGAAAAGAGGAGUGUAAAAAACGAGUGUAAAAGAGACAAAGAUUGUAUUGAAAAGGAAAAAAGAUACUAAAUCAAGGAAUCAAAAGGGAAGUUUUGAAGGUAUUUCGCUUCAUUUUUCAGAGAAAUCUGUGGGAUUUCUAUUUUUUUAUGUAUUUAUUCUCUGUUAUAAAAUAAAAACGAAAGAAAAGGAAAAAUAGAGUUUAUUGAAGGUGAAAGAAUUUUUCCUCUUCUUUUGAUAAUUUUCUGCUUCUAUUCUUUUAUUUAAGAGAAAGGAAGAGACUUUUUUUUAAAACCUUACCUGUAUGUUGCGUUGUCGGAACCUCUAUACUUUCGGCUUCGAAUCAAAAUAGGGUGGGCAAUGGUUGAGUUGAAAGUGGUGUUGCGGGCAUAGGUUUAGUCUGUUGGAGAAAUUAGAAUGGUGGCUGAUAUUAGGGUUAGCAUUGGUUUUAUUUUAAAGUGAAAGAGACGGUGCAGUGAAAGAAACGACACCGUGUGGACUUUAUGCCAAGGUUCAAUGGCUUAUUUGCAGGAUUGGUCCUUUGUUCUUUGAGGGGUGUUUAAAUCAGUUUUUUUUUUAAAAUUUAGCCGCAUGUUUUAUGUUUGUUUCACUUCGGUCUUUAUUGAAACGCAACGUUUUGGAGGAGUGGAUUAAUUUCCUUUUUAGUCCCCGUCAGUUGUAUGCGUGUUCAAUAGAGUUUGCGCAUCUAUGUCUAUUUCGAAUUUGCCUUUAAAUUUCUGUUUGGAUUACAAAUUGGUCUUUUUGUCAUUUUUAUACUAUUAUUAUUAUUAGUAUUUUAAUUUAUUAUUAUAAUUAUUAUUAUUAUAACUAUGUAUUUAUGCGAAUACUUUCAAAAUAUAUGUACAUAUCGUGUUUGUAAUUUAUAUAUAUACUUAUAUGCUUACAGUUUUUAAUAUAUUUUACAAUUUAUAUAUGUAUCUAUAUAUUUAUUUAACUAUUUUUUAUUUUUGUUUUUUUUCUUCACAAAUAUGUAUGUACAUAUAAAAUUUAUAAUAUAUAUAUUUUCUAUAUUUUAUAACCCAUACAUGCAUACAUUCAUAAAAUAUGUACAUACAUACACUUUUUAUUAUUAUUAUUUUAAAUUAUUGUAAAUAUAUAUAUUGUUGCAUAUGUCUUUUUUUAUAUAUAUACAUAUUAUACUUAUAUAUAUACGUAUUUUAGUGUAUACAUGUACAUAUUUUCAUAACUUACUUAUGUAUAUGUCAUACAUAUACAUUUUUUUUAUUUUUGUAAAUACAUAUGCAUAUUAUAUAUAUAUUUUAUACUUAUGUUAUUUUCAUAACUUUUAUAUGCAUGAAUAUGUAUAUACAUUGACACUUUACAAUACAUAUAUAUGUGUAAUUUAAAUUAAAGUAUUGGUUUCAUGUUGUACAUUAGCAUUUUACUAUACUUUUUAAAGAAAAUAUAUUUUGGUUUCGGCAAAGCAUUAAAAUCAUCAUAUUUUAAAAAAAUUCAAAAUAUUUGGCAUUCAUGAUUCUCGAGAAAAUAAUCGUGUCCUAACUUACUAGAUUUUCAAAUAAAAUCACACAGAUUUUCAAAUAAAAGCUUAUUCUCGGGAAUCCAAAAAUGUUGGGUCCUAACUUACUGGUCAUGACAUUUUGUCAUCUCGAAAUAAGAAUUUCUAAAACAAAAGGCAAUAUUCGGUAUUUGGAAUUUUGAGAAAUUGUGCCCUAACUUACUGGGUUUCGAUUUUCUUCAUUUGACCUAAAUAACCGAAUAUCCUUAUUAGAUUUAACUGUGUGAGUUUUAAAAUCAAAAGACAAACUUAAUUUUGAAGAUUUAAAAAUAUUGUGCCCUAACUCACUGGGUGUGAUGUUUUACUUCUUUGAAAUAAGAAUGUUUUAUCAUUUUAAUUCAUUCAAGAUAAAAAGUUUUCUUUUAAAAUCUUUUCAAAUUUUCGGCACUAAGACAUUAAAUAAUCAAUUUGGUACCGAUUUUGGGUGUUACGAGGGUGCUAACCCUUCCUCGUGCAUAACUGACUCCCGAACCUAUUUUCUCAAAUUUUGCAGACCAAAAUUAUUUUUAAGGUGAGCCAAUCACACCUCAAUCAAGGAUUGGUGGCGACUCCAAUUUUUGUUUUUAAAGUGGACAACUAAAUUUUUGUUUUUUCAAAAAAAUAGUUUCGACAAUUAUCACUAAAUCCAAAUUCAAAUUUAAUAGCAUUUUAUUUGAUAAUUAGCCAAAAAUAAAUAUAUUAAAAAUACAAAUUUAUCUUACUAUCAGUAAUGGUUUGAAAUGUCAUAUGCUUUGAGUUUUAUAAUGAUCUAUAUUAUGAUAUAUAUGAGAGAAUGAAAUUUGAAUAUUGAUAAUGAGAAAAAUGUGUAUUCUUUGAGGAUGCAUCAACGAAAUGAAAUACUAGUGAAAUUGAAAAAAAAUAUAUGCAAGAAUGAGAUGCAAACAUAUACUUGAAUAUGAGGAAACUUGUGAAAAGAUAGACCAAAAUGCCCUAAGGGUGCCAUGUUCUAUUAAUAUAUUAAUAUGAAAUUAAUUUACGCUGAUAUAUCAAGUGAUAUUAAUAUAUGUAAUUUGCUUCUUAACAUGUGAAAAGAUAAUGUUAUUCUUCAAUAUAACACAUUUUUUUAUUAUUUAAUUCAUUUUGGAUUGAAUUUGAAUUACUUUGACAUCAUUGAGUAUUCAAUACUCAAUGUAUGGAUUUUUUUUUUGUGCUUAUGUUUUGACAAGUUUUGAUAGAUUGAAUGACUCGUGAAGCAUUCAGGACUCGAUGUCUUAGCUCAUAUCGAGUUUGUGUUUUUUCACUUAUAAAUGGUUAAAGGCAUGUACCUUAGUUGAGUCGGAUGGUUUAAUGUCUUUUUGGAUCAUUUUGAUAUGCUUUGCUAUAUACUGGGCUUAUAGUUGUCCUAAAGAUGAAAUUUGAUACUGAGUUAGAUAGCUAAAUGCAUGUUUUUUCUUGCCUUAUUAUCUACCUUUUCAAGUGAAAAUAUGAUGAUUUGAAUGUCAUGUUUUCAAGGAGUGUCAAUAUGUUUGAUAAGUUAAUCAUGUGUAUUGAUAUGUCAUGAUAUUAUAAAAAAAAUUAGGUAACAUGUGGAUACAAAUCUUAUGCUUGAAAUGUUGGAUUCUGGACAACUUGGUAUGCUGGUCUAGAGACACUAUGGUCAUGUCUCAAGACAUUAUGAAAAAAAUGACCAUUUCGUUCAUUUCUGGGUUAAGGUCUUGAGACAUACAUUGUCAUGUCAUUGAAGCCAAGGGUCUAAAAUAAGGAAGUUAUGUCUUGAGACCCGUCUCAAGACAUAAAAGACCAUGUCUCGAGACAUAACCCCAUGUCUUUAUGUCUCGAGACAUACAUCAACAUUGAAGUAAAAUAAAAAUAAAUAAAAAUACAGAGGAAGUACGUUUCAGGACAUGGUUCUACUAUCUCGAAACACACUAUUCAAAUUUGAUAGAUUGAAUUUGGAAUCGAGUCUUGAUUCUAUUUUUUACUCAAAGCAAUCCCAAAACAUGUUAGUUGAAGUUUAUAGGCAUCUAUAAUGUAUGUAAAUGAUUGUGGAUGAUGAUUGAAUUGGAUUAUAUGAAUAUUACAUGCUAAACUUUGUGAAAUUGUAUUGAGUUAGUUAGACCUACGUCGGCAACAUAAUAUGAUGUCUCACAUUCGGAUCUGACAACUGAAUGGGGUGUUACAUAUUAUAAACUUUACAUUUUUAUUUUCCAUACUUAUCCAUACUUUUACUACUACUCUUCGGUUAUUACUACAUCUAGUGACUUCGUUUUUUUUAAAAAAAUACACUUUAUGACACGUAAAAUAUUUGUGAAAAAAAUUAAAAUUUUAAAUAUGCUUCCAUUCAUGUUUUUAAACAUAAACAUUUACAUUACAAAUUAUAGCCAUGUACAAAAAAAUUUCAAAUCAACUUAAAUUUAAUAAAAAAAUUAAUGAUAAUAAUAAUUGAAUUUUCAUUUUCAAAUCCAAAAAGUAGAGAGACUAAAUUCUUUAAAAUAAAAAUUGGAAUUAAAUUUCAAAUAUACAAAAAAAAUGCAUACACUUGAAGCAUAUUUUAACUUGCAUUUUACAAAUUACUAUUUAGAUGAGUUUGAGACUUUGAAUUUAAUCCUCUAUCAUUCCUUAUGCAAGUGUUACAAAUUAUUUUGUUUUAUAUUCCAAAUGAUGUAUGCUUAAUUAAUUAUCGGUGCUUUUAAAGGUAUUCAUGGGCCAAGCUGAGUUAGGUUUUGGUCGAGAUUAAGCAUAAUAUUAACACACUUUAUACUUGUGAAGCCCUAGCUCAACCUAAAAUAUAGGCUUAAAAUUGUGCUUAAACCCACCCAUAUUUGUAAAUGGUUAACCCAAGUUCGUUUUAAGCUUACCUAUACUAUUUUUUUUAUUUUUUAAAAUAUUGUAAUAUUUUUAAUUUAAAAUUUAAUAAUUUUAUUUUUUUCAUUUAUUAAAAUUUUAUAUAUAGAGAACUUAACAUUUAUUAAAUGUUUACAUUAUAGUAUUAUAUUACCAUAGAUUUAAACUUUAUAUGUUUUAAGUACACAAUAUAUAUAAAAGUAACAUAUCACAAAAUUAGAAAACUAGUUGAGCCUACUUGGGCCAGGCUCAAGCCCUGAAUGUUCAAGCUUGAGCCUAAUCCAUAUUUUAAACGAGCCUAAUUUUUUUUGCCUAGGCCCUCCCAAAAUUUGGAGAGGCCUUCAGGCUUGGGCAAGUAGUCAAACUCUUAAACAAGUCUAAAUGCUUUUAUAACUUCUUAAUUAAUGAAAUAUCUUGACAAACUAACAGUUAAAUUUAUACAAUUCUGCUCACAAGUUUUGGAUCUUUAUGAUAUUUUUAUCAUAUCAGUCAAGAAUAAUUUAUAUUCAAUAAAUAAUUCAAAAUUUUUAAUAUAUUUAAAAUUUGAUAUCAACUAUCUAAAUAUAUAAAGCAUGAAAUAUAUUGAAAAAUAAAUAUUUAUUGUUGAUGUUUGAUAAGGGAAGUGAAAAGAGGGAUAAAACAAGGAGAAUAAUUGAGGAGUGGAUAAAGUUAACAUAGUAUUGUCUGUACAGAAAGCCUAAAGUAAGGGAAGAAGGAGCUAGUCCCCCUCUUGGUCAAUGGGAAUGUAUAUACAUGUUCCUUUGACAACAAUCUUCUAAUAAACUUUUAGAGGAUGAGUCAUGUAGCCCCAUUAAAUUCCUAAGUCGUGUGUUACCUUGUAAGGCACAUUAAGUUUGCAUGAUGAUUAGCCGACAUACUUUACAAGUGGCAAAUGAUACACAACAAGGUUUUUGAUACUUGCAAGGUGAUGAGCCUUAGCAGGGUAGACAUCUAGCAUGGUCCUUUUGAAGCAAAAUGUAACGACACCGUUUAUCGGGGUGUCGAAAAAUUUGUUUUUGUAAAUCGAAUUCGUAAAUAUUAAUUAGGAAUAUUUACAUGGUUAGUAUAAAUAUGAAUUGAAAUUUGGUUAGGCAAUUUAACCGAAAAUGAGGUUAGUUAAAGCUAGGGGAAAAAUUGUAAAAGUUUAAUCGUUAUAAAUUUUUAAUUAGAAUAAGGCUUGGUGAACUAAAUAGUAAUUAAUCAAAGGACUAAAAUGGUAAAUAAAUAAAAAUAAAAUUGAUAAUAGUGGGAUUUGAUGGUGGAUGUCAUUAGCUUAAGUUAAUUAAAGAUUAAUGUUAAUUAAACAUGAUUGAAGUGAUUAAUUAAGCUUAAUUAUAAUUUAAUCAAGUUAUAUAAGUAAAAUUGAGUGGAGAGAUGUUGUCAUCUUCUCUAAACUUAACCGUCCACCAUUAGAAGCCAUUAAGGAAAAUAUUCAAAACCUAGUUUGAGCAUCGACUAACAUUUAAAGUAAGUCCCUAGCCAUUUUUCUUUGAUAUAUAUAUUAUCAUGAGUGCUUGAUUAAGCUAACCCAUGUGUCAAUUUUUUAAUUUGGGAAGAUUUUGAUAAGUUGUCAUUAUUGAGAAUUGGAUAAAUUAGGAGUGAAAUUGAUAUAAAUUAAGCUUAGAUUGUGAAAAAGACUAAAUUGUAAAGCUUAACAAGCUUCAUUGUUAGCUUGAUUACAUUAGGGAGAAAAAUGAAUAAAAUGCAAAUAUGUUAUGAAAUUAUGGUAGGAAUCGAAAGGAUAGGGUCCCUAAUGAGUGAGUGUAAAAUUAGAGUUUAAUCCGAAGCCUUAGAUUGAAAGUUAUGCUUAUCUUGGGUUUAGAAAUUAAAUUGAAUAAAAUGUAAAAUAUGCAUGAUUUAGUAUUUGAUUGUGAGUUGGUCGGAAAUUGAUAGCGAUAUAUGUUUCGUGGUCACACGUAGCUAAUGUCGAUGCAAAACUGUCGAGAGUGAAAAGAAAAGUGAAAGAUAUUGACGAGUGACUUAGGAAUCCCAAUUUGUACUUUAUGAUUUAGGAUAGAAAUAUUUUCUUGUAAUUGCAUGUUUAUUGAAUGAUUGAUCAUUGAGGUGAGUAUAUGGUGAUAGUAUGAAUUGUUUUAAUUGAGUUUGAUGUGGAAUGUCACACCCUAGUUUGGUGAAUCGGAUAGGUUUGGGAGACUACACUGGUAGAGACUGCCUAAGUUGUGAGACAUAGACUGGAUAAGGUUGGUAUCUUUGAGGUGGAGUGCUGCUACAAAGAACUUCGCCAACACUGCGGAGUGCUAGUUCGAGCGAUAAUGAGAUUAUAGUUAGGGUGGGGACCUUAUUAGGACGGCUUUCUCGCUAAUAAGAUCGCCACCCGUGUUUUAGUAUCGUUACUGAAGUAAGUACGAUGAGUUGUAGGAUACAUUUAGGUCACUUGGCAUCCUAGUUAAGGUAAAGUGUCAAUAAUUAGGACACUUGUAGAGCAUCAUAGGAUGUGAGUAAUUAGUAGAAGCAUGCAAGAACAAGUAAUGAUUAGAGAUAAUCCUAAUUGAGAAAGAUCAAUUCUUUUGAUUGCAUGAUAGACUUCCCUGAAAAACAUUGGCGCACGUGUAAACGAGGUGCUCUACCAACUGAGCUAUAGCCCUUGUGUUUUGGUGUAGCAGCUAUAUUUCGAUUCAUCCUCUUUUUCCAAGGAUUUCAUAAUUGGACAUUACGCGCUACCAAGCCGCGCUACAUCCCUUUCAAUUGGCCUACAAUGUCAUUGUAGAGAAUCCCUGUCUUGUUUUCCACACCCUUAUUUCGUCUAUUGAUAUACAAAAUGGAUCUUUCCAUUUCCUCUUUUUGGUCUCAUAUAACAACCAUAUAAUGAAUAAUAAAUGAAUAUUUUUAGCGGGAAUUCUCAGGCGGAAAGGGACCUAUUUUAUUUUGCUGUUUUAAGAAAGGGAAAAUCUUAUCUAUCGAAUCAUUGUACAUUUAAAUUUGAAUCUUGAAUUAGGAAUUCCGGGUACAAAUAGACAAAUCCAAGUGGUCUUUAACCACACAUACAUGCGAUUAUAUAUGUAUUACCAUAAUGUAAUACAAUAAAGAAGGAGGAUUUUAAAUGCGAGAUCUAAAAACAUAUCGUUCCGUAGCACCGGUACUAAGUACUCUCUGGUUCGGUUCUUUAGCGGGUUUAUUAAUAGAGAUCAAUCGUUUCUUCCCGGAUGCGUUAACAUUCCCUUUUUUUUUAAUUCUAGUUAUUGCCGCGGGAUGGGGCGAAAAAGAUUAGAUCGAGAUACAAUCAAAUAUCUGUGACUACUCUCUCGCCCCCCCCUUUUUUUUAGUUUUUUUUUCGAAUUAGAUAAGAAUUAGAUAAAAUAAAUAAGGAAGGUAGAACGAAAAAAGUAGAUUCAACCUUACCGAAACUCGGGUUCAAGCUCCAAUUAAAUUACUAGUAGAGUGAAAAGAGAAAUGUGGCUGGAACAACAGUAUCCUACAAGAUACUUAAAGAAAAUACCGUACGGUGGUUUGAUUCUAAAUAGAGUUCGAAAUCGUUGUAUUACUUAUUCUUAUUAUUUACUAUUACUCUAAAUCUAUAUUGAUUUACUAUAUUGAUUGCAACAAAAUCUUUCAAGAUUUGGUUUUGAGUUAGCAACUUUUAUUUCUUUUUUUUUCAUUCCUUUCUUCUUCGCUUUUGAUCGGAAAAUAGAAAAGUUGGGUGAAUUAAAAACUCAAAGGAGGUUCAUGGCCAAGAGUAAAGAUGUCCGAGUAACGAUUAUUUUGGAAUGUACCAGUUGUGUUUGAAACGGCGUUAAUAAGGAAUCAACGGGUAUUUCCAGGUAUAUUACUCAAAAAAAUCGACACAAUACGCCCAGUCGAUUGGAAUUGAAGAAAUUCUGUCCCUAUUGUUACAAACAUACAAUUCACAGGGAGAUAAAGAAAUAAAUCGAAUCAAGUGCUCGUAUGUCACCACUUACCGAGAAUAUGAAAAUAUGACAUUAGGUAUAUAAUAUAUUAAGUAUAAGUAUAUAAUUAGUUAUAUAUAACGCAUAUUUUCUUUCUAUAUUAUUAAUAAUAUUAUUAAAAUAUUAUUUAUAUAUUAUUAAUAUAUUUUAAUUUAUAUAUAUUUCAAUUAUAUAUUUAAAUGAUAAAUAAUAAUAAAAUAAACAAUAAUAAAAUAAACAAACCAAAUCCUAUUUAUUAUAUUAAUUCUAUAAUUUGAAUUUUUAAAAUAGGAUUUUAGAAAUAGAGAUAGGGAUAGGAUUCUUUUUAGAAAUAAGGAAUAAAGAAAUCAUGGAUAAAUCCAAGCGAUCUUUUCGUAGGCGUUUGCCCCCGAUCCAAUCGGGGGAUCGAAUUGAUUAUAGAAACAUGAGUUUAAUUAGUCGAUUUAUUAGUGAACAAGGAAAAAUAUUAUCUAGGCAGGUAAAUAGAUUGACCUUAAAACAACAACGAUUAAUUACUAUUGCUAUAAAACAAGCUCGUAUUUUAUCUUCAUUACCCUUUCUUAAUAAUGAGAAACAGUUUGAAAGAAGCGAGUCGACCACUAGAACUACUGCUCUUAGAACCAGAAAUAAAUAGGCUUACCCCUUCAAAAGAAUCGAAUCCGGUUGGGGAAGAAAAAAAAUAUUUUUUUUAUUGAGCGCCUUCGCUCAUCUUGUUUUGAUGACCUUAUCAGAACCUUAUCAGAAUCAGAAUUUUUUAUCAUAUUAAUUUCUACUCUACCUUCCCCGAGUUCAUUCUCGAGGGAACCCCAUUUCAUUUAAAGCAUUUCGUUGGAUUACUUCUGAUCUCCUUAUUUUCUAAUCUCGUUGGAAAUCAUAUAAAGACAAUUCCUAUUUGAGAUAGCUAUUUGUGCAAGUAUUUUACGAUUCAGAAGCAACUGUUUCUUGUACAGAUUGUGUAUUAAUCUACUAUAACUGUAGGAUACCCCCACUCCGCGAAUUACUGCAUUUAUUCGAGUGAUCCACAAACGACGAAAAUCCCUUUUUUUCCUAUCUCUAUCCCGAUGAGCCGAAACCAAAGCUCUUAUUCUUUGUUGAGUAAUAGUUCGAGUAAGUCUUGAAUGAGCCCCUCGAAAGCUUGAUGCAAAUAAACUAAUUUUUUUUCGACGUCUACGAGCUAUAUAUCCCCGUUUAAUUCUGGUCAUUGAAUAAAAGAAAUUUUGAUGAAUAACUAAUUCUUUCUUUCAGUUAUUAUUUUCUAGUCUAUUAAUAACAAAACGGAUUCUUCCAAUGUAUAAGAUAAAAAUUCCAAUGGCUUUUGCUACUCUAACCGUCCCGACCACGAUUUUUCCUUUUUUCUAGGCAUUUCAUUUCGCCUUGAAAUAAGAAAUUGUAUUGAUACUAGGUAUCAAAAAAAGCAUAUUAACUAAAAUAAAGGAGUAAAUAGAAAUGGAUAAAUAAAUGGUGGGUUCCAUCGUUUCUAUGGUUACUUCUUAAACGGUGAGGUCCUCUCUAUACACCGGAGCUCAUUCCUUCAUUUAAUUGGUAACUUGUACAGUUCACACUCUUCGGCUCUACUCAUAAAUUUUCCAGUAAUAGAUCUUUCACAAUGAGAUCUAUCUUAUACAGUAACGGUAUGUAAGGAUGAGGAUUAAUUGGGCAGCUGACCCUGUUAGUCCGUUCUUUGCAAGAGUCGAAGCAUAAUCUUUUUGCUUUUUAAAUAGGAUUUUCCCCGCUUAAUGGAUAAGCAUUUGCUACCAAUGGGGAAUUUUUUCUCAUCUUAAAUUCCAAGAUUGGAUUUGCGCCAAUGGAAACCAUAAAUUUCAUACACAAUAGAAGGAUAUGGUAGAUUUAUCUUUUUUAGAUAGUGAACGGACGAACCCCAUUCUAUUCACUGGUACGGAUCGUUGAUACUGAAAAAGUUGUUUCUUUUUUCUCAGCCCAUGAUCUGAACAAGUCGCACAUACACCCUAGUACAUGUUCCUCGGCGCUGAGGACAUCCCUCAAGAGCAGGGGAUUUCGUGACAUUUCUAAUUGGCUGUCUUGUAUUUCUAGUAAGUUGUUUAAUAGUUGGCAUACUGAAUCAUAUACAUAAUAGACUGGUUUAGAUCGAUCCUAACCAGAUGAUUCUGAAUUACUUCUUUUUCUAUUUAAUAGAUUAAUAAAAUAUUAACCCCUUAGGCUUAAGUUAAGAAGGAAAGGAAGAAGAGGGAUUAAAUCAAUCUUAAUUAAAUUGUGGAUUGGUGUUAAAUCGUUGCUAUUGCUAUUUGUUAUUUAACUUAUUUAACCGCUACAAGAUCCACAAUUCCAUGAGCUUGGGCUUCUGUUGCUGACAUAAAAACAUCUCUUUCCAUGUCUUCGGAUACAACCCAUAGGGGCUUGCCCGUUCUUUGUACAUAAACCCUUGUGAGGCUUUCGCGAAGUUUCAGUAGUUCUUCCGCUUCCAGGAUAAAUUCUCCUGUUUGUGCCUCAUAAAAAGAACUAGCAGGUUGAUGGAUCAUUACCCUGAUGAUAUAACAUAAUAAAAGGUUCUUCUAACUCACAUAAUGAGCGAGAAGAAUAGCUAAAAAUAGCUAAAGAAUAAUAAGAAAAAAAAGAUAGAAUUGAACAACCGUACAGGCAUUUUUUUUGUGCAUUGCAUACGGCUUUACAAUGGAAUUCUCUUUUUCUUUCAAAAUAUAGAGAGCGUCUAUUAGACCCAGAUCACUAAAUAAUCCAAUUACCACCCUUCUUUUUUUUUCUUUUUUUUCGGAAAAUUUCAAAAAUACUAUGAUGGCUCCGUUGCUUUAUAUAUUUAUUUCGUCUGUAAUUCAGCAAUCCCAAAGUUUUUUUUUCAAAAAAAAGAAAGAAAAAAAUAGUCUUUUUUUUUCGUACUCUUUUAUUUUAUAACAUAAAUAUUGUUAUAAAUAUUGUUAAUAGCCUCUGGAGUGAAAAGAAAAAAAGUUUGUGACGCUGAGAUGGGCCCACGAAAGCUAAGAUAAAAUUGGAAAUGCCCUUUCUCUCAUACUACUCUUUCGAUACAUAAUCUAAUGUUUUGAAAAAAAAAGAAAUCAAAAAAAAUUCAUAUCAAAUUCGAAGUGCCAUGCUAUUAUUACUUACUAAUUCAUAUUUCAUAUGGCGAAGGCAUAGUCUUCUUUUUUCUUUCCAUCAAAUAAAAAAACUCAUUGGCGCCGAGCGUGAGGGAAUGCUAGACGUUUGGUAAUUUCUCCUCCGGCCAGGAGAAAAGAUCCCAUUGAAGCAGCCAAUCCCAUGCAUAUUGUAUGCACAUCUGGUUGCACAAAUUGCAUAGUAUCAUAAAUAGCUACUCCGGGUAUUACCCAUCCGCCAGGAGAGUUUAUAAACAAAUACAGAUCUUUGGUAUCAUUCUCUAUACUGAGAUAUACCAUAAGACCAAUAAGUUGAUUCGAGAUCUCGCUAUCAACCUCUUGGCCUAAAAAAGUAAUCUUUCUCGAUAAAGUCAGUUGAUUAGGAUAAAAUUGUAUCCCUUAGUAGCCGUACAGGCACCUUUUGAUGCAUACGAUUCAACAAAAAUUGCGAAAAAAAAUCAAUGUGUAGAUUCCAGCCAUCCUUCGUUUUUUCUAGUGUGCCUUUUCUAACUUUUAAUUUCUAACGAAGGGGCUUUUUCUUACAUUUUUAAAAUAAAAUUCAAAAUGAAAUUAAAGAAAGAUAAGUUUUGGCCCGUUUUCCUAUAAUCUAUAAUAUAGAAAAAAUUCGCUAAACUUAUCGCACAAACUUUUCAUUGAUCUAUUUUUUUUCAUUGGGAUUCAAUCCAAAUCAUGAUGUCAUUUUCUUGUUCCUGAAUGGGUUUCAUCAAUUUUUUAUUCAAUUUUUUUAGGUUUAUGCUCUACUCCGAGUAAAGAUCCGCCCGAUUUUGAUUUGCGCAUAUAGGACAAAUGACCCAAUACCAUAUCUUUUUGCUAUGAUUUCAUUUCCUUUUUUAUUUUAAUUUAAUUCCUUUUUCUUUCAUGUUUUCCGCCAAAUAUUCAGCGUAUUUCUCAUAUUAUUCGAUUGAUUAAUAGUUUGAAAUUGUUCUUAUUUCUAUUUCUAAUUUGUAAAUAAAAAAGAUUUAUGAUUAUGAUAUAGGUGGUAAUCAUAAAUGUAUUACCAAUUGGGUUUUUUCUAAACGGAGCCUGGAUGCUUCGUUUUUUCGGUCCAACCAAGCCAACCAUAAAUCAGUCUAAUUGAAAAUAUUAAUCUGGAUACCUCCCAAAAAAAUGAAAUGGAUCUCUAAUUGCACUUAAUUACACUUCGCGCUACAAAUUUUUGAUAAUUCAAUCAAUCUUUUUGGGGCGAAACAGAGGAUAUCUCGAUCGGGCGAGAGAACGGGGGAAUCCCAUAUGACCCAAUAUAUUUGACAAGUCGCACUAUACGUCAACCCAAACUGCAUCUUCCCCUCCCGAAUUUUGAAAAGGAACUUUUGUAACACCAAUAGGCAUUAAAGGAAAGAAAAAGAAUUAAAUACUAUAUUUCACUUUGAUCUGGAAGCGUAAUAAUGGUCUUAAUAAUAUUGGCCUCAUAUUUUAUACAUAGAUAGAAUAAGGCCACAAAAUAAAGAAAGACAGAAUGAAUGAAAGAGAAUUCUUACCAAUAGGUCAUUUGAAUGACGAACAAAUAGGGAUGCGUUCAUUCAUAAAAAAUAGGAUCAACCCCCAUUGCGUAUUGAUACUUAUCGGGUAUAGAAUAGAUCUGCUUCUCUUUUUUCUUCUGAGCCGAAUUCUUCUCGUAAUUACUAAUGGAAUAGAACAAAUAUUAAUCCUUUCUCCGAAAGAAUCCAUCGAAAAGGGGAGGUAUUCCAAUGCAAUAAAGUUACAUAGUGUCUAUUGUUCGUUGAUAAAGGGGUAUUUCCAUGGGUUUCCCUUGGUAUCGUGUUCAUACUGUCGUAUUGAAUGAUCCCGGUCGCUUGCUUUCUGUUCAUAUAAUGCAUACGGCUCUGGUUGCUGGUUGGGCCGGUUCAAUGGCUCUAUAUGAAUUAGCCGUUUUUGAUCCCUCCGAUCCCAUUCUUGAUCCAAUGUGGAGACAAGGUAUGUUCGUUAUACCCUUCAUGACUUGUUUAGGAAUAACCAAUUCAUGGGGCGGUUGGAGUUUUACAGGGGGACUAUAACAAAUUCGGGUAUUUGGAGUUACGAAGGUGUGGCCGGAGCACAUAUUGUGUUUUCUGGCUUGUGCUUCUUGGCAGCUAUCUGGCAUUGGGUAUAUUGGGAUCUAGAAAUUUUUUGUGAUGAGCGCACAGGAAAACCUUCUUUGGAUUUGCCCAAGAUUUUUGGAAUUCAUUUAUUUCUCUCAGGAGUGGCUUGCUUUGGCUUUGGCGCAUUUCAUGUAACAGGAUUGUAUGGUCCUGGAAUAUGGGUGUCGGACCCUUAUGGACUAACUGGCAAGGUCCAACUUGUAAAUCCGGCGUGGGGCGUGGAAGGUUUUGAUCAUUUUGUUCCGGGAGGAAUAGCCUCUCAUCAUAUUGCAGCAGGGACAUUGGGCAUAUUAGCGGGCUUAUUCCAUCUUAGUGUCCGCCUGCCCCAAUGUUUAUACAAAGGAUUACGUAUGGGAAAUAUUGAAACCGUCCUUUCUAGUAGUAUAGCUGCUGUCUUUUUUGCAGCUUUUGUUGUUGCCGGAACUAUGUGGUAUGGUUCAGCAACUACCCCCAUCGAAUUAUUUGGUCCUACUCGUUAUCAAUGGGAUCAAGGAUACUUCCAGCAAGAAAUAUAUCGAAGGGUUAGUGCUGGGUUAGCCGAAAAUGAAAGUUUAUCAGAAGCUUGGUCUAAAAUUCCUAAAAAAUUAGCUUUUUAUGAUUAUAUUGGCAAUAAUCCGGAAAAAGGAGGAUUAUUCAGAGCGGGUUCAAUGGACAACGGGGAUGGAAUAGCCGUUAGGUGGUUAGGGCACCCUAUCUGUAGAGAUAAAGACGGGCGUGAACUUUUUGUACGUCGUAUGCCUACUUUUUUUGAAACAUUUCUGGUUGUUUUGGUAGACGGUGACGGAAUUGUUAGAGCGGAUGUCCCUUUUAGAAGGGCAGAAUCAAAGUAUAGUGUCGAACAACUAGGUGUAACUGUUGAGUUCUAUGGCGGCGAACUCAAUGGAGUGAGUUAUAGUGAUCCUGCUACUGUGAAAAAAUAUGCUAGACGUGCUCAAUUGGGUGAAAUUUUUGAAUUAGAUCGUGCUACUUUGAAAUCCGAUGGUGUUUUUCGUAGCAGUCCGAGGGGUUGGUUUACUUUUGGGCAUGCUUCGUUUGCCUUGCUUUUCUUCUUCGGACACAUUUGGCAUGGUGCUAGAACCCUAUUCAGAGAUGUUUUUGCCGGUAUUGAUCCAGAUUUGGAUGCUCAAGUGGAAUUUGGAGCAUUCCAAAAACUUAGAGAUCCAACUACAAGAAGACAAGUAGUCUGAUGCAAGAUUGCUUUGUUAUUUUUCGCUUCUACUUCUAUUUGUGAUUUGCCAUAGGCUGCUGGAAAAAUCUUGAUUUAAAUCGCUGCCUUUUCUUUGAUUCUUGUUCUUUCUUUAUUUUAUUCGGGAGAUGAUUCCAAAUAAACAGGUACGAAAGCUAUAAUUGUAAACCACGAUCAAAUUUAUGGAAGCAUUGGUUUAUACAUUCCUCUUAGUAUCUACUCUAGGGAUAAAUUUUUUCGCUAUCUUUUUUCGAGAAUCGCCUAAAAUUCUAACUAAAAAAAUGAAAUGAUUUUUCAUUAUCUCAAUUGAAGUAAUGAGCCUCCCAAUAUUGGGAGGCUCAUUACUUCAAUUAGUCCCCGUGUUCCUCGAAUGGAUCUCUUAAUUGUUGAGAGGGUUGCCCAAAAGCAGUAUAUAAGGCGUACCCAGUAAAACUUACAAGUAAACCAGAUAUAGAGAUGGCGACUAAGGUUGCUGUUUCCAUUAUUAUAUAAUUUCAAGAUCACAAUGGGUCUAUGAUAAGAUUGUUUAUUUACAGCGGAAUGAUAUACAAAGUCAACAGAUCUCACUGAAUACAAAAUUAGAUUUAUGGCUACACAAACCGUUGAGGGUAGUUCUAGAUCUGGUCCAAGACGAACUGUUGUAGGGGAUUUUUUGAAACCAUUGAAUUCGGAAUAUGGUAAGGUAGCCCCUGGAUAGGGAACGACUCCUUUGAUGGGUGUCGCAAUGGCUUUAUUUGCGAUAUUCUUAUCUAUUAUUUUGGAGAUUUAUAAUUCUUCCAUUUUACUGGAUGGAAUUUCAAUGAAUUAGAUUCACAAGAAUCACGAAGCCUCGCUUUUCAAUACAAAAAGUGAAACUUUUAGUUCUCGGAUUUUUUUAGCCCCAUUCUAUUUCGGUAGUUCGACCGCGAAAUUUAUUUGUUUCUGUAUUUUCGGAAUAUGAGUGUGUGACUUGUUAUAAUUGAUCCUAUUGAUAGUACAGAAAAUAGGUCUGUCAUCUUGAUCGAGAUAGUUUUAUCCCGUCGGAUAGUCAUUCUAGUAUCUGGAGCACGGAAUAUAUGAAAGGAUCACAAAGUAUUUGAACUAUGAUUCAUACUUAAUAUUCAAACCUCGCGGCCGGACUCAAAAAAAAAUUCAAAGAAAGAGUUAUAUUAUUUAUAAAUCGAAAGAUUUUUUAUUCUUUCAAAAUCUCAUUUAGUUUAUGCUUAUUUUGAUCAAAGGACAAACCUUUCUUUUCUUUGUAUUUUUUAUUAUAUCUAUUCUAUUGAUUGAAUAAGUGAUGAUCCAAUGGUUCUUACUCAAAGAAUCUUUGGACUUAGUUUGAAGGUUUUAUUGAAUCAUCGCGGUUCUGGUAUGAAUCUGAAGUUUCAAUUGAUUCAUAGGGUCUUAACAAGAGAAUUCCUAUCAAAAAGAAAGAAAACAAGAAUAAAGCCACAUUUCAUACAAAGAACAAAUCAAAGCAAAGAAAAAGAAAUAAGUAGGUAAAUAGAAGAUUCAAGAGGUCUGUAACGAUCAACAUAAAGACGACUGCGCUGACUUGAUUUUUUGGCAUUAUAAUUACAACUACAAAAAAGAGCUUUCGGAUUUUCACUCUUUUGUGUCUUCAGAUAAAAUUGAAUGAAAAGAUUAAGAAGUUUCAAACUUUCUAUUCCAUAUCCGUUUCAGCUAUUACUUGGGUGUUUUUGUUUGAGCUGUACGAGAUGAAAUUCUCAUAUACGGUUCUCGGGGGGGGUCCUCUUGGUUUACCUAUCUCAAUAAAGUCUAUGAUUGGUUCGAAGAGCGCCUCGAAAUUCAGGCGAUUGCAGAUGAUAUAACUAGUAAAUAUGUUCCUCCUCAUGUUAACAUAUUUUAUUGUCUAGGGGGAAUUACGCUUACUUGUUUUUUGGUACAAGUAGCUACAGGAUUUGCUAUGACUUUUUACUAUCGUCCAACCGUUACUGAGGCUUUUGCUUCUGUUCAAUACAUAAUGACUGAAGCUAACUUUGGUUGGUUAAUCCAAUCAGUUCAUCGAUGGUCGGCAAGUAUGAUGGUCUUAAUGAUGAUCCUGCACGUAUUUCGUGUCUAUCUCACUGGUGGUUUUAAAAAACCUCGCGAAUUAACUUGGGUUACAGGCGUGGUUCUGGCUGUGUUGACCGCAUCUUUUGGUGUAACAGGUUAUUCCUUACCUCGGGACCAAGUUGGUUAUUGGGCAGUCAAAAUCGUAACAGGCAUUCCGGACGCUAUUCCGGUAAUAGGAUCGCCUUUGGUAGAGUUAUUACGUGGAAGUGCUAGUGUGGGACAAUCCACUUUGACCCGUUUUUAUAGUUUACACACUUUUGUAUUACCCCUUCUUACUGCUGUAUUUAUGUUAAUGCAUUUCCUAAUGAUACGUAAGCAAGGCAUUUCUGGUCCUUUAUAGAGAAUAUAGACCAUAGCUAUAUUGUAACCAAUAAUUUAUCUUAUUACUUGGGGGAGGAACAAUAGUAUUUCAUUGCUACAAAUAUGGAUUAUUGAAAAAAAUAAGACAUGUAUUUGGAUAUUUCCUUUCAACUACAACAAUAUUCUAUUAUUUAUUUGAUAUGACAUGAAUAGUUGAAGGGAAUUCCCCGAAGAGAAAAUGGAUUAUGGGAGUGUGUGACUUGAACUAUUGAUUGGCCCGUGCAGAAAUAUGCCUUUAUCUGCUACAUUGGAAUUCACAACCAAAUGUGUCUUUGUUUCAACCACCGUGUAAGCCCCAUACAAAGGAUAGGCUGGUUCGCUUGAAGAGAAUCUUUUCUAUGAUCAGACCUGACGAUGUUGUGUAUAAAUAGGGCUCCGUAAGAUCCAGUAGAAUAAGUGAUUUGGCAUAAUCCAAAUUAGAUUUUAGUUUUUUUUUUUACUUUCUUAUCUUAAUAGUAUGAAAAUGCAUUCAUUUCUUCUGCAUCGACCCCAUUUAAUUAUACUAUCAGAGUCAAACAAGGGAUCUAAAGAAGAGCAAAGGCUAGACUAUAUUAGUAACAAGUAAAUCCUUUGUAUGUAAAAAAUCUCGAUAUAUUUUUGGGAUAAAGGUGAAUCGCAAGGCCUAAGACGACCCAUAAAGCACUUGAUCACGAUCAACUUUGUACGCCUACUUGGGUAUUGAGCAUUUACCUAUAAAAAUGAAAUUCCUUGGAAUGUAUAAUUGUAACUCCGUAAAAUGGAAUCGGGUACCUUUUUUCUUACAUACGGAACCAUUCAUAUAUGUGGGGAUAACAUAUAGAUUUAUUUUAAACACAUAGAAUAUAGAUUUAUUUUAUAGGUAUCCGUUUGUAUCCAUUUGAUUCGAUUGACUUUUGCUUGAGCCGGAUGAUGAAAAAUUAUCAUGUCCGGUUCCUUUGGGGGAUGGAUCUAGAAAAAUUCACCUAUCCUAAUAACAAAAAAACCUGACUUGAACGAUCCUGUAUUAAGAGCUAAAUUAGCUAAAGGUAUGGGUCAUAAUUAUUAUGGGGAACCCGCAUGGCCCAAUGAUCUUUUAUAUAUUUUUCCAGUAGUAAUUCUCGGUACUAUUGCUUGUAAUGUGGGCUUAGCGGUUCUAGAACCUUCAAUGAUUGGUGAACCCGCGGAUCCAUUUGCAACUCCUUUGGAAAUAUUACCUGAAUGGUAUUUCUUUCCUGUAUUUCAAAUACUUCGUACAGUACCUAACAAGUUAUUGGGUGUUCUUUUAAUGGUUUCAGUACCCGCGAGAUUAUUAACAGUACCGUUUUUGGAAAAUGUUAAUAAAUUCCAAAAUCCAUUUCGUCGUCCAGUAGCGACAACCAUUUUUUUGAUUGGUACUGCAGUAGCCCUUUGGUUGGGUAUUGGAGCAACAUUACCGAUUGAUAAAUCCCUAACUUUAGGUCUUUUUUAAAUUGAAUCAAUUAAAAAAAAUAUCAUGAUGUGCGUAUCUAGGGAGUAGUCACUUCAAAGGAAAAGUGAAUUCUCCCUAGAUACAUUUAUUCAAUUCUGGUCCGAAUCUAUGGAUUGUGCUGAAGGUUCAAAAUCCAUUGGAUUCAAACUUUUGAUAAAUCAAUUUCGAAAUGCUUUUUCUACUUCUUUUCUAGAAUGCCCAGUAUUUGUUUUACAUCUUCUAUGCGAAAGUGUUCAAUUUUCAUAAGGUCUUCUCGACUGUUAUUCAAAAGGUCCAAUAAUGUAUGUAUAUUGGACUUUUUGAGACAAUUAUAGAUCCUGGGAGGCAAUUCUGAUUGGUCAAUAAAAAUCGAUUUCAAUGCUAUUUCUUUUUUCUUUUUUGUUAGUUUAACUAAUCUAUCAUGAAACGGAAAAAAAGGUAAAGUAACAUCGUGUUGAUUGUUUUCUAAAUGGAAGUUUUCUUCUUCCGCAUGUAGAAAAGGAAUAAAUAAAUCAAUCAAAUUGCGAGAGGCUUCAUGAAGUGCUUCUUUCGGAGUUAAACUUCCAUUUGUCCAUAUUUCUAGAAAAAGUAUCUCCUGUUUUUCAUUAUCAUUCCCAUAACAAUGAAUACUAUGAUUCGCAUUUCGAACAGGCAUGAAUACAGCAUCUAUAGGAUAACUUCCGCCGUGAAAGUUCUUUGGCAUUUUUAUACCGUAUCCUCUAUUUCUCUCGAUUUGUAAUCCAAUACACAAAUCAAUUGGUUCGGUUAGGCUGGCUACAUGCUGUGUAUUAUCAACGAUUUCCACAGAAGGUGGUAAGAUGAUGUCUUGAGCAGUUACAUAUCCGGGACCCUUGGCACAAAUAAAGGCGUUACGAGUUCCAUACAAAUUCCCUCUCAAUACAAUUUCUUUCAAAUUCAUUAAAAUUUCAUGGACUGAUUCUUGAAUACCUACUAUGGUAGAAUAUUCGUGGGGUAUUUUCUCAGAUUUUGCACGUGUAAUGCAUGUUCCUUCUAGUUCUCCAAGCAAAGCUCUUCGCAUCGCAAUGCCUAUUGUGUCGGCUUGGCCUUUCAUAAGUGGAGACAGAAUAAAGCGUCCAUAAUAAAAGGCGCUUACUAUAUGUUCUUGAUUCAACACACUUCCACUGUCGUGUCCGAGUCGAAGUAGAGACUUUUACUUUCUCUCGAACCAUAGUAAUAUUAUUUUAUUUGAUCAGAUCAUUGAAUCAUUUAUUUCUUGAAUCUAUCCAUUCUGGAUCCAAAAAUGACCCCUCCCACGAAUUUUUCAGAUUUUGAGACACAUUCAAUAAUAUAGAAGUAUAAGUUGCCAAAAUGAAAAUAAAAAAAAUUAGAGGGGGGUCAGUCAAACUUCUGUAAUCUGUAAUGUAACUUGAAUGAAAUAAAUAGAAUUUGAAUGAUGAAUGAAAAGAAAAUAAUAAAAUCGAAAUCAUAAUAAAAAAAAUGAAAUUCUAAAUAAUUAAAUUAAAUUAUUAAUUUUUCUAUUUAACUUUAACUUAAAUUAAAUAAUAAUAACUUAAAUUAAAUAAUAAAAAAUUCUAAAUAGACUAAAUAUAAAUAAUAACUAAAUAAUAACUAAAUAGAAAUAAUAAUAUAUAUAAUAAUAUUAUAAGAAUAAUAUAAUAAUAGAUAAUAAUAGAUAAUACAAUAAUAGAUAGAAUAAUAAAAUAAAUAAUAUAGAAAUAUAGAUUUAUAAAUCGAAAUAUAUUAAUAUAAAUAUAAUAAUAUAAAUAUUAUUAAUUACUUAAUAUUAAUAACAAAUAAUAUAAAUUAAUAUUAAUUGCUAAUAACUUGUAAUUUGAUUAUUUGAUAAGCAUUUGAAUUGUUAUAUAAUUUCGAUUGUUAAUUGGUUUAGUAGUGGAAUUUGAUAAAAUCGCCCUGAACUGAAGAAAGUAUCUAUCCUAGCUCUGACCAAAUAUUCUUUCGUAUCAAGAAUCAAGAACGAAAAUGCGGAUAUAGUCCAAUGGUAAAAUUUCUCUUUGCCAAAGAGAAGACGUGGGUUCGAUUCCCGCUAUCCGCCCAGAGCAAUGUAUUUAAGAUAAGAGGAUAAAAGAUUCGUUAUAGUUGACUGUAAAUAGUUGACUGGAAUUGGAAUAUAAUACACCCCCUAAAAGAAAAAAUGACUAGUUAAUAGGGUCAAGUCUAAUUUUUUUUGUCAAAAAAAUGUAAUGUUGCGGGAACGGGAUUUGAACCCAUGACCUCAAGGUUAUGAGCCUUGCGAGCUACCAAACUGCUUUAUCCCGUGAUGAAAAGAAACCAAACUAAUGGACAAACAAAGAUUGAAUGCGCCCCUCUUCCAUAUAUGUACAAAUAGAAUAGCCUAUUUAUACAGAAUGGUAAAGGGGCCCCUCUAUGAUCAUCGAUCAUAGAAAUAAAUAGAAAAGGGAAGGGAUAUUUUAAUCCUUACCAACUUGAUCUUGUUGCCCCCGGCAACAAACAUGCAUGAACCAUUUCACGAAGUAUGUGUCCGAAUAGUCGAAAGUCUCGAUAGUUAGCUCUCGGUCUUCCGGUCGAAAAGCAACGUCGAUGAAGACGUGUGGGUGCGCUAUUUCGUGGUGAGGAUUGUAACUUUCCAUGAAUUUUCCAUUUCUCACUCAACGACGGAACUUUGCUUAUUUCUUUUUUUGAGGAUCGACGAAUCAAAUGAUAUUUUUGUUCCAAUUUUUGCCUCUUCUUCUCCCUAUGAAUCAAACUUUUCUUUGCCAUAAUGGUUCAGUUCCUAUUAUUAUCAAUGAUACAAGUCGGAUCCUAGAUGUAGAAAUAGAAGGGGGCAUACCCCCUACUCCAUCGAAAGAGAUGAUAUUAUCACAGAUACAGCGCAUAACAUAAGGAAUUAACCAAAUUUGCCCGAUGUAGAGGCAAUCAAGAAAGCCGCAUAAGUAAAUAUAUAACCUACAGAAAAGUGGGCUAAUCCAACCAAUCUUGCCUGCACAAUAGAAAGAGCCACUGGUUUAUCUCUCCAUCGAAUCAAAUUAGCUAAAGGUGUGCGUUCAUGAGCCCAUGCUAAAGUUUCAAUCAAUUCUUGCCAAUAUCCACGCCAAGAAAUUAAGAACAUAAAUCCGGUAGCCCAAACAAGAUGUCCAAAUAAGAACAUCCACGCCCAGACUGAUAAACUAUUCAUACCAAAUGGGUUAUACCCAUUGAUGUAUUUUAAAAAUUUUAUCUGUCGGGACUGACGGGGCACGAACCCGCAGCUUCCGCCUUGACAGGACGGUGCUCUGACCAAUUGAACUACAAUCCCAGGGAAAUAAAGAAAAGCGUACAACAUAGAUAGUCUUACGAUUUCAUUCAAGCCAUUCUCUAUUUAGAUUUUAGAUUCGAAGCCGGGUUGUAACAAACAAAGGCGCGAGUGAUAUAUUGAUAUCCAUACGGGUAUGCACUUUGAGUGAGAGCGACGAGGAUUCCUAGUUACUAGGAAUCCUUUCGUUAUUGCCAAAUAAAUCGAUCAAUAAUCAAUUUGAAAACAAAAAAGAGUCUUCUUUUUUGUUUACUUUACUCCUUUUCUUUUCAUUAAACUUUCUAUUUAAUGAUCCUGAUAUGAAUCUAGAGCAUUAUCAAGGUCAUAAUUUAUGGGAACAACUAAAUAAAUAGAACAAAAUAAAAAACAAAUAGCGGUAGGGAUGGAUAUAUCACAAAAUUGGACUUUUUUUAUUCUUCCCUAAUUUUUUUGUUUGGCUUUUCGGGAAAACAAAAUACAAAAAAUGGGCAUUUUAGGUUAUGGCGGAUCAGCGAAUUAUUGGGCCGAGCUGGAUUUGAACCAGCGUAGACAUAUUGCCAACGAAUUUACAGUCCGUCCCCAUUAACCGCUCGGGCAUCGACCCAGGAAGAAUCAAUUCUAGGUUUAUUGAUAAUCCAUGAUCAACUUCCUUUCGUAGUACCCUACCCCCAGGGGAAGUCGAAUCCCCGCUGCCUCCUUGAAAGAGAGGUGUCCUGAACCGCUAGACGAUGGGGGCAUACUUGCCUGACCGCGACCAUACUAUGCUCAUAGUAUGAACAGUUUUUUGAAAUUGUCAAUAUAAUGGAAUGACUAGAGCCGAAAGCUUUUUCCAUCUUUUAUGAUUUUCCAUAUUUUAUUCACGAUUUAUACUCAGUAAAUCAUUCAUUUUAAUCGCCACUCUAUUCGAUAUAGAAAUAAAUUAGAUAAAUUCAAUCUAUUAUAUAAAUAUUUAUUAGAAAUAAAUAGAUAUUAUAAAAAGAAACUAGAUUAAUAAUACAAAGUAUAAGAUCAGUGAUUGGUUUAACAUAAACAUAAAAAAGGGAGUUAACCUUCAUUUUUUCCACUUUCAUUCAUUGAUUCACUCAUUAUUACGACGAGACAGGCAUGUUUCUAUCUCACACUAAGCCGGUAAAUUAACAAAAAGUAAAUCGGGAAUUUUUGGAAGAGGCAGCAAGAAGUUAUCAAAAAUUAUGUGUGUGUUUUUUUUCUAAAAAUUGGGUUCGGUGGACAAAGCAAAUCCCUUCAUCACAUGUUUCGAUAAACUAGAUUGGAUCUAUGUCGAAUUGCUAAGGUACAUGUAUUAAUCAAAUAAAUGAAUUUCGUUCUGUUCUGAUAAGCCAAUUAUGAUUGGCCUUGAAACAGUUUAUUGCAUUGAUACAAACCCAAUAUCAAUAAAACCAUUUUACCCUCUACACGUUAAGUAAAUUAGAAUUCUCAUUCCUAAGAGCUACUAGCCACUAUGAGUCUACUGCAUAUACUUAUAUAUAUAAAUAGAUCUUAUCCGUCUACUGAUUCAUUCAGUAAUUGAGUCAAACCGCCCUUUUAACUCAGUGGUAGAGUAAUGCCAUGGUAAGGCGUAAGUCAUCGGUUCAAAUCCGAUAAGGGGCUUUUGACUUUUUUUUUCAUAAAACUCCUAUAAAAUGGUAGUAUUCAUAUUGAAACAUAAGGAUGUUGUUUUUAUUGGUAAUAAAAACCCAACUGUAUAUGUAUAAUAAUUGAGUUAGAAAUUGUAUAAUUUAACUCUAAUAAGUUAUUAUUCUAAUGAGUUAGAGUAGAGGAAUUCUAAAAGAAAGUUGAAAUUAUAAUGAAUAAUGAUAAGCCGUCUCUUGAAGCGACAAAUAUAUAUUUUGUUUUGAUUUUGAAUUAGAUUAUUCCAAUCAAAUCCAUUGUAAAGAAUUGUAAAGAUUAGAAAUCAACAAAAGAAAAAGUAAGUGGAUCUAACCCAUUGAAUCGUGACUAUAUCCACUAUUCUGAUAUUAAAAUUCGAUAGAGAUGAAAUUGGAACAGUCGAUUUCUUUUUAUUUCAUAUUUAUUUGGACUCCACAAGAAUCUGUCGAUAUUUCCGAUUCAAUCUUCUUGUUCCUAGGAAUAAAUUAAUAUUCUAUUCCUUUCUAGAUAAAGAGAAACAUUUAUUUCAAGUUACAACCUAAGAGCCUUUUUCAACAUCUUAUCUUUCUUUGAUUCCAGAACACAACAAGAUCCAUCUCUAUCUAUAUAUUCUAUCUAUUCUAUAAUAGAUAGAAACCUAAAUCAAAUCAUGUCUUCACAUAUCAAAUAUUUCCAUAUCGAUACAUAUGACACUUUUGUUCUGCCAAUGUGAUGGAGAGUGAGUGCGAAAAAGAAACUUUCAUUUUGAGUCUCCUAUUAUUUAAUUUAAUAUUAUUAAAUAUUGUAUUAGAUUGAAAAAUAGGAACUUCGAAUCUUUUUCUAUUUACUUUAUGUAUAUCAGAAAAAGAUUCGAAGUGGAUUUCUCGACCCGUGAAAUGAAAAACUAGCCUAUGGAGUUUUUUUGUUUUAUAUUCAUCUGAAGGAAAUAUGAGAAAGAAAACAAUAAAUAAAAGAAAUAAAAUGAAGGAAAUAUAUAUCAGACUAUAGUAAUUUAAUACACAUAGAAAUUAUAAAAAUACAUAAAAAUAUUGAUUUUUAUCAAUUUCACGAACAAGAUCCAAGAAUAAGAUUAGUUGAUGGAGGGGGAGAGGUAGAUCUGGAGAUCAACCAGUAGCGAGAGAAGGGAUCGCUUCUUCCUUGAAUUGAAGAGUUCAUUCAAAAAAUUCAUCUAUCUGAUUGAUGAGCCAUAAGACAAUUCAUGGUUCAGACGACUAGUAAAAAUAGAAAAGAAUAAACGAAUUGAGUUCAUGGAUUUACCUAAGUCAGGUUAUGGACCAAUACAAGACAAUAUUUUUUUAUAUUCGAAACCAAUUAAUUAUAAGGNNNNNNNNNNNNNNNNNNNNNNNNNNNNNNNNNNNNNNNNNNNNNNNNNNNNNNNNNNNNNNNNNNNNNNNNNNNNNNNNNNNNNNNNNNNNNNNNNNNNNNNNNNNNNNNNNNNNNNNNNNNNNNNNNNNNNNNNNNNNNNNNNNNNNNNNNNNNNNNNNNNNNNNNNNNNNNNNNNNNNNNNNNNNNNNNNNNNNNNNNNNNNNNNNNNNNNNNNNNNNNNNNNNNNNNNNNNNNNNNNNNNNNNNNNNNNNNNNNNNNNNNNNNNNNNNNNNNNNNNNNNNNNNNNNNNNNNNNNNNNNNNNNNNNNNNNNNNNNNNNNNNNNNNNNNNNNNNNNNNNNNNNNNNNNNNNNNNNNNNNNNNNNNNNNNNNNNNNNNNNNNNNNNNNNNNNNNNNNNNNNNNNNNNNNNNNNNNNNNNNNNNNNNNNNNNNNNNNNNNNNNNNNNNNNNNNNNNNNNNNNNNNNNNNNNNNNNNNNNNNNNNNNNNNNNNNNNNNNNNAUAGAUCUGCUUCUCUUUUUCUUCUGAGCCGAAUUCUCGUAAUUCUAAUGGAAUAGAACAAAUAUUAAUCCUUUCUCCGAAAGAAUCCAUCGAAAAGGGGAGGUAUUCCAAUGCAAUAAAGUACAGUGUCUAUUGUUCGUGAUAAAGGGGUAUUUCCAUGGGUUUCCCUUGGUAUCGUGUUCAUACUGUCGUAUUGAAUGAUCCCGGUCGCUUGCUUUCUGUUCAUAUAAUGCAUACGGCUCUGGUUGCUGGUUGGGCCGGUUCAAUGGCUCUAUAUGAAUUAGCCGUUUUUGAUCCCUCCGAUCCCGUUCUUGAUCCAAUGUGGAGACAAGGUAUGUUCGUUAUACCCUUCAUGACUCGUUUAGGAAUAACCAAUUCAUGGGGCGGUUGGAGUUUACAGGGGGACUAUAACACAUUCGGGUAUUUGGAGUUACGAAGGUGGUGGCCGAGCACAUAUUGUGUGUUUUCUGGCUUGUGCUUUCUUGGCAGCUAUUUGGCAUUGGUAUAUUGGGAUCUAGAAAUUUUUUGUGAUGAGCGCACAGGAAAACCUUCUUUGGAUUUGCCCAAGAUUUUGGAAUUCAUUUAUUUCUCUCAGGAGUGGCUUGCUUUGGCUUUGGCGCAUUUCAUGUAACAGGAUUGUAUGGUCCUGGAAUAUUGGGUGUCAGGACCUUAUGGACUAACUGGCAAGGUCCAACCUGUAAAUCCGGCGUGGGCGUGGAAGGUUUUGAUCCUUUGUUCCGGGAGGAAUAGCCUCUCAUCAUAUUGCAGCAGGGACAUUGGGCAUAUUAGCGGGCUUAUUCCAUCUUAGUGUCCGCCUGCCCCAACUGUUUAUACAAAGGAUUACGUAUGGGAAAUAUUGAAACCGUCCUUUCUAGUAGUAUAGCUGCUGUCUUUUUUGCAGCUUUUGUUGUUGCCGGAACUAUGUGGUAUGGUUCAGCAAUUACCCCCAUCGAAUUAUUUGGUCCUACUCGUUAUCAAUGGGAUCAAGGAUACUUCCAGCAAGAAAUAUAUCGAAGGGUUAGUGCUGGGUUAGCCGAAAAUGAAAGUUUAUCAGAAGCUUGGUCUAAAAUUCCUGAAAAAUUAGCUUUUUAUGAUUAUAUUGGCAAUAAUCCGGCAAAAGGAGGAUUAUUCAGAGCGGGUUCAAUGGACAACGGGGAUGGAAUAGCCGUUAGGUGGUUAGGGCACCCUAUCUGUAGAGAUAAAGACGGGCGUGAACUUUUGUACGUCGUAUGCCUACUUUUUUUGAAACAUUUCUGGUUGUUUUGGUAGACGGUGACGGAAUUGUUAGAGCGGAUGUCCUUUUAGAAGGGCAGAAUCAAAGUAUAGUGUCGAACAACUAGGUGUAACUGUUGAGUUCUAUGGCGGCGAACUCAAUGGAGUGAGUUAUAGUGAUCCUGCUACUGUGAAAAAAUAUGCUAGACGUGCUCAAUUGGGUGAAAUUUUUGAAUUAGAUCGUGCUACUUUGAAAUCCGAUGGUGUUUUUCGUAGCAGUCCGAGGGGUUGGUUUACUUUUGGGCAUGCUUCGUUUGCCUUGCUUUUCUUUUUCGGACACAUUUGGCAUGGUGCUAGAACCCUAUUCAGAGAUGUUUUUGCCGGUAUUGAUCCAGAUUUGGAUGCUCAAGUGGAAUUUGGAGCAUUCCAAAAACUUGGAGAUCCAACUACAAGAAGACAAGUAGUCUGAUGCAAGAUUGCUUUGUUAUUUUUCGCUUCUACUUCUAUUUGUGAUUUGCCAUAGGCUGCUGGAAAAAUCUUGAUUUAAAUCGCUGCCUUUUCUUUGAUUCUUGUCUUUCUUUAUUUUAUUCGGGAGAUGAUUCCAAAUAAACAGGUACGAAAGCUAUAAUUGUAAACCACGAUCAAUUUAUGGAAGCAUUGGUUUAUACAUUCCUCUUAGUAUCUACUCUAGGGAUAAAUUUUUUCGCUAUCUUUUUUCGAGAAUCGCCUAAAAUUCUAACUAAAAAAAUGAAAUGAUUUUUCAUUAUCUCAAUUGAAGUAAUGAGCCUCCCAAUAUUGGGAGGCUCAUUACUUCAAUUAGUCCCCGUGUUCCUCGAAUGGAUCUCUUAAUUGUUGAGAGGGUUGCCCAAAAGUAGUAUAUAAGGCGUACCCAGUAAAACUUACAAGUAAACCAGAUAUAGAGAUGGCGACUAAGGUUGCUGUUUCCAUUAUUAUAUAAUUUCAAGAUCACAAUGGGUCUAUGAUAAGAUUGUUUAUUUACAGCGGAAUGAUAUACAAAGUCAACAGAUCUCACUGAAUACAAAAUUAGAUUUAUGGCUACACAAACCGUUGAGGGUAGUUCUAGAUCUGGUCCAAGACGAACUGUUGUAGGGGAUUUUUUGAAACCAUUGAAUUCGGAAUAUGGUAAGGUAGCCCCUGGAUAGGGAACGACUCCUUUGAUGGGUGUCGCAAUGGCUUUAUUUGCGAUAUUCUUAUCUAUUAUUUUGGAGAUUUAUAAUUCUUCCGUUUUACUGGAUGGAAUUUCAAUGAAUUAGAUUCACAAGAAUCACGAAGCCUCGCUUUUCAAUACAAAAAGUGAAACUUUUAGUUCUCGGAUUUUUUUAGCCCCAUUCUAUUUCGGUAGUUCGACCGCGAAAUUUAUUUGUUUCUGUAUUUUCGGAAUAUGAGUGUGUGACUUGUUAUAAUUGAUCCUAUUGAUAGUACAGAAAAUAGGUCUGUCAUCUUGAUCGAGAUAGUUUUAUCCCGUCGGAUAGUCAUUCUAGUAUCUGGAGCACGGAAUAUAUGAAAGGAUCACAAAGUAUUUGAACUAUGAUUCAUACUUAAUAUUCAAACCUCACGGCCGGACUCAAAAAAAAAUUCAAAGAAAGAGUUAUAUUAUUUAUAAAUCGAAAGAUUUUUUAUUCUUUCAAAAUCUCAUUUAGUUUAUGCUUAUUUUGAUCAAAGGACAAACCUUUCUUUUCUUUGUAUUUUUUAUUAUAUCUAUUCUAUUGAUUGAAUAAGUGAUGAUCCAAUGGUUCUUACUCAAAGAAUCUUUGGACUUAGUUUGAAGGUUUUAUUGAAUCAUCGCGGUUCUGGUAUGAAUCUGAAGUUUCAAUUGAUUCAUAGGGUCUUAACAAGAGAAUUCCUAUCAAAAAGAAAGAAAACAAGAAUAAAGCCACAUUUCAUACAAAGUACAAAUCAAAGCAAAGAAAAAGAAAUAAGUAGGUAAAUAGAAGAUUCAAGAGGCCUGUAACGAUCAACAUAAAGACGACUGCGCCGACUUGAUUUUUUGGCAUUAUAAUUACAACUACAAAAAAGAGCUUUCGGAUUUUCACUCUUUUGUGUCUUCAGAUAAAAUUGAAUGAAAAGAUUAAGAAGUUUCAAACUUUCUAUUCCAUAUCCGUUUCAGCUAUUACUUGGGUGUUUUUGUUUGAGCUGUACGAGAUGAAAUUCUCAUAUACGGUUCUCGGGGGGGGUCCUCUUGGUUUACCUAUCUCAAUAAAGUCUAUGAUUGGUUCGAAGAGCGCCUCGAAAUUCAGGCGAUUGCAGAUGAUAUAACUAGUAAAUAUGUUCCUCCUCAUGUUAACAUAUUUUAUUGUCUAGGGGGAAUUACGCUUACUUGUUUUUUGGUACAAGUAGCUACAGGAUUUGCUAUGACUUUUUACUAUCGUCCAACCGUUACUGAGGCUUUUGCUUCUGUUCAAUACAUAAUGACUGAAGCUAACUUUGGUUGGUUAAUCCAAUCAGUUCAUCGAUGGUCGGCAAGUAUGAUGGUCUUAAUGAUGAUCCUGCACGUAUUUCGUGUCUAUCUCACUGGUGGUUUUAAAAAACCUCGCGAAUUAACUUGGGUUACAGGCGUGGUUCUGGCUGUGUUGACCGCAUCUUUUGGUGUAACAGGUUAUUCCUUACCUCAGGACCAAGUUGGUUAUUGGGCAGUCAAAAUCGUAACAGGCGUUCCGGACGCUAUUCCGGUAAUAGGAUCGCCUUUGGUAGAGUUAUUACGUGGAAGUGCUAGUGUGGGACAAUCCACUUUGACCCGUUUUUAUAGUUUACACACUUUUGUAUUACCCCUUCUUACUGCUGUAUUUAUGUUAAUGCAUUUCCUAAUGAUACGUAAGCAAGGCAUUUCUGGUCCUUUAUAGAGAAUAUAGACCAUAGCUAUAUUGUAACCAAUAAUUUAUCUUAUUACUUGGGGGAGGAACAAUAGUAUUUCAUUGCUACAAAUAUGGAUUAUUGAAAAAAAUAAGACAUGUAUUUGGAUAUUUCCUUUCAACUACAACAAUAUUCUAUUAUUUAUUUGAUAUGACAUGAAUAGUUGAAGGGAAUUCCCCGAAGAGAAAAUGGAUUAUGGGAGUGUGUGACUUGAACUAUUGAUUGGGCCGUGCAGAAAUAUGCCUUUAUCUGCUACAUUGGAAUUCACAACCAAAUGUGUCUUUGUUUCAACCACCGUGUAAGCCCCAUACAAAGGAUAGGCUGGUUCGCUUGAAGAGAAUCUUUUCUAUGAUCAGACCUGACGAUGUUGUGUAUAAAUAGGGCUCCGUAAGAUCCAGUAGAAUAAGUGAUUUGGCAUAAUCCAAAUUAGAUUUUAGUUUUUCUUUUUACUUUCUUAUCUUAAUAGUAUGAAAAUGCAUUCAUUUCUUUUGCAUCGACCCCAUUUAAUUAUACUAUCAGAGUGAAACAAGGGAUCUAAAGAAGAGCAAAGGCUAGACUAUAUUAGUAACAAGUAAAUCCUUUGUAUGUAAAAAAUCUCGAUAUAUUUUUGGGAUAAAGGUGAAUCGCAAGGCCUAAGAUGACCCAUAAAGCACUUAAUCACGAUCAACUUUGUACGCCUACUUGGGUAUUGAGCAUUUACCUGUAAAAAUGAAAUUCCUUGGAAUGUAUAAUUGUAACUCCGUAAAAUGGAAUCGGGUACCUUUUUUCUUACAUACGGAACCAUUCAUAUAUGUGGGGAUAACAUAUAGAUUUAUUUUAAACACAUAGAAUAUAGAUUUAUUUUAUAGGUAUCCGUUUGUAUCCAUUUGAUUCGAUUGACUUUUGCUUGAGCCGGAUGAUGAAAAAUUAUCAUGUCCGGUUCCUUUGGGGGAUGGAUCUAGAAAAAUUCACCUAUCCUAAUAACAAAAAAACCUGACUUGAACGAUCCUGUAUUAAGAGCUAAAUUAGCUAAAGGUAUGGGUCAUAAUUAUUAUGGGGAACCCGCAUGGCCCAAUGAUCUUUUAUAUAUUUUUCCAGUAGUAAUUCUCGGUACUAUUGCUUGUAAUGUGGGCUUAGCGGUUCUAGAACCUUCAAUGAUUGGUGAACCCGCGGAUCCAUUUGCAACUCCUUUGGAAAUAUUACCUGAAUGGUAUUUCUUUCCUGUAUUUCAAAUACUUCGUACAGUACCUAACAAGUUAUUGGGUGUUCUUUUAAUGGUUUCAGUACCCGCGAGAUUAUUAACAGUACCAUUUUUGGAAAAUGUUAAUAAAUUCCAAAAUCCAUUUCGUCGUCCAGUAGCGACAACCAUUUUUUUGAUUGGUACUGCAGUAGCCCUUUGGUUGGGUAUUGGAGCAACAUUACCGAUUGAUAAAUCCCUAACUUUAGGUCUUUUUUAAAUUGAAUCAAUUAAAAAAAAUAUCAUGAUGUGCGUAUCUAGGGAGUAGUCACUUCAAAGGAAAAGUGAAUUCUCCCUAGAUACAUUUAUUCAAUUCUGGUCCGAAUCUAUGGAUUGUGCUGAAGGUUCAAAAUCCAUUGGAUUCAAACUUUUGAUAAAUCAAUUUCGAAAUGCUUUUUCUACUUCUUUUCUAGAAUGCCCAGUAUUUGUUUUACAUCUUCUAUGCGAAAGUGUUCAAUUUUCAUAAGGUCUUCUCAACUGUUAUUCAAAAGGUCCAAUAAUGUAUGUAUAUUGGACUUUUUGAGACAAUUAUAGAUCCUGGGAGGCAAUUCUGAUUGGUCAAUAAAAAUCGAUUUCAAUGCUAUUUCUUUUUUCUUUUUUGUUAGUUUAACUAAUCUAUCAUGAAACGGAAAAAAAGGUAAAGUAACAUCGUGUUGAUUGUUUUCUAAAUGGAAGUUUUCUUCUUCCGCAUGUAGAAAAGGAAUAAAUAAAUCAAUCAAAUUGCGAGAGGCUUCAUGAAGUGCUUCUUUCGGAGUUAAACUUCCAUUUGUCCAUAUUUCUAGAAAAAGUAUCUCCUGUUUUUCAUUAUCAUUCCCAUAACAAUGAAUACUAUGAUUCGCAUUUCGAACAGGCAUGAAUACAGCAUCUAUAGGAUAACUUCCGCCGUGAAAGUUCUUUGGCGUUUUUAUACCGUAUCCUCUAUUUCUCUCGAUUUGUAAUCCAAUACACAAAUCAAUUGGUUCGGUUAGGCUGGCUACAUGCUGUGUAUUAUCAACGAUUUCCACAGAAGGUGGUAAGAUGAUGUCUUGAGCAGUUACAUAUCCGGGACCCUUGGCACAAAUAAAGGCGUUACGAGUUCCAUACAAAUUCCCUCUCAAUACAAUUUCUUUCAAAUUCAUUAAAAUUUCAUGGACUGAUUCUUGAAUACCUACUAUGGUAGAAUAUUCGUGGGGUAUUUUCUCAGAUUUUGCACGUGUAAUGCAUGUUCCUUCUAGUUCUCCAAGCAAAGCUCUUCGCAUCGCAAUGCCUAUUGUGUCGGCUUGGCCUUUCAUAAGUGGAGACAGAAUAAAGCGUCCAUAAUAAAAGGCGCUUACUAUAUGUUCUUGAUUCAACACACUUCCACUGUCGUGUCCGAGUCGAAGUAGAGACUUUUACUUUCUCUCGAACCAUAGUAAUAUUAUUUUAUUUGAUCAGAUCAUUGAAUCAUUUAUUUCUUGAAUCUAUCCAUUCUGGAUCCAAAAAUGACCCCUCCCACGAAUUUUUCAGAUUUUGAGACACAUUCAAUAAUAUAGAAGUAUAAGUUGCCAAAAUGAAAAUAAAAAAAAAUUAGAGGGGGGUCAGUCAAACUUCUGUAAUCUGUAAUGUAACUUGAAUGAAAUAAAUAGAAUUUGAAUGAUGAAUGAAAAGAAAAUAAUAAAAUCGAAAUCAUAAUAAAAAAAAUGAAAUUCUAAAUAAUUAAAUUAAAUUAUUAAUUUUUCUAUUUAACUUUAACUUAAAUUAAAUAAUAAUAACUUAAAUUAAAUAAUAAAAAAUUCUAAAUAGACUAAAUAUAAAUAAUAACUAAAUAAUAACUAAAUAGAAAUAAUAUAUAUAAUAAUAUUAUAAGAAUAAUAUAAUAAUAGAUAAUAAUAGAUAAUACAAUAAUAGAUAGAAUAAUAAAAUAAAUAAUAUAGAAAUAUAGAUUUAUAAAUCGAAAUAUAUUAAUAUAAAUAUAAUAAUAUAAAUAUUAUUAAUUACUUAAUAUUAAUAACAAAUAAUAUAAAUUAAUAUUAAUUGCUAAUAACUUGUAAUUUGAUUAUUUGAUAAGCAUUUGAAUUGUUAUAUAAUUUCGAUUGUUAAUUGGUUUAGUAGUGGAAUUUGAUAAAAUCGCCCUGAACUGAAGAAAGUAUCUAUCCUAGCUCUGACCAAAUAUUCUUUCGUAUCAAGAAUCAAGAACGAAAAUGCGGAUAUAGUCCAAUGGUAAAAUUUCUCUUUGCCAAAGAGAAGACGUGGGUUCGAUUCCCGCUAUCCGCCCAGAGCAAUGUAUUUAAGAUAAGAGGAUAAAAGAUUCGUUAUAGUUGACUGUAAAUAGUUGACUGGAAUUGGAAUAUAAUACACCCCCUAAAAGAAAAAAUGACUAGUUAAUAGGGUCAAGUCUAAUUUUUUUUGUCAAAAAAAUGUAAUGUUGCGGGAACGGGAUUUGAACCCAUGACCUCAAGGUUAUGAGCCUUGCGAGCUACCAAACUGCUUUAUCCCGUGAUGAAAAGAAACCAAACUAAUGGACAAACAAAGAUUGAAUGCGCCCCUCUUCCAUAUAUGUACAAAUAGAAUAGCCUAUUUAUACAGAAUGGUAAAGGGGCCCCUCUAUGAUCAUCGAUCAUAGAAAUAAAUAGAAAAGGGAAGGGAUAUUUUAAUCCUUACCAACUUGAUCUUGUUGCCCCCGGCAACAAACAUGCAUGAACCAUUUCACGAAGUAUGUGUCCGAAUAGUCGAAAGUCUCGAUAGUUAGCUCUCGGUCUUCCGGUCGAAAAGCAACGUCGAUGAAGACGUGUGGGUGCGCUAUUUCGUGGUGAGGAUUGUAACUUUCCAUGAAUUUUCCAUUUCUCACUCAACGACGGAACUUUGCUUAUUUCUUUUUUUGAGGAUCGACGAAUCAAAUGAUAUUUUUGUUCCAAUUUUUGCCUCUUCUUCUCCCUAUGAAUCAAACUUUUCUUUGCCAUAAUGGUUCAGUUCCUAUUAUUAUCAAUGAUACAAGUCGGAUCCUAGAUGUAGAAAUAGAAGGGGGCAUACCCCCCUACUCCAUCGAAAGAGAUGAUAUUAUCACAGAUACAGCGCAUAACAUAAGGAAUUAACCAAAUUUGCCCGAUGUAGAGGCAAUCAAGAAAGCCGCAUAAGUAAAUAUAUAACCUACAGAAAAGUGGGCUAAUCCAACCAAUCUUGCCUGCACAAUAGAAAGAGCCACUGGUUUAUCUCUCCAUCGAAUCAAAUUAGCUAAAGGUGUGCGUUCAUGAGCCCAUGCUAAAGUUUCAAUCAAUUCUUGCCAAUAUCCACGCCAAGAAAUUAAGAACAUAAAUCCGGUAGCCCAAACAAGAUGUCCAAAUAAGAACAUCCACGCCCAGACUGAUAAACUAUUCAUACCAAAUGGGUUAUACCCAUUGAUGUAUUUUAAAAAUUUUAUCUGUCGGGACUGACGGGGCACGAACCCGCAGCUUCCGCCUUGACAGGACGGUGCUCUGACCAAUUGAACUACAAUCCCAGGGAAAUAAAGAAAAGCGUACAACAUAGAUAGUCUUACGAUUUCAUUCAAGCCAUUCUCUAUUUAGAUUUUAGAUUCGAAGCCGGGUUGUAACAAACAAAGGCGCGAGUGAUAUAUUGAUAUCCAUACGGGUAUGCACUUUGAGUGAGAGCGACGAGGAUUCCUAGUUACUAGGAAUCCUUUCGUUAUUGCCAAAUAAAUCGAUCAAUAAUCAAUUUGAAAACAAAAAAGAGUCUUCUUUUUUGUUUACUUUACUCCUUUUCUUUUCAUUAAACUUUCUAUUUAAUGAUCCUGAUAUGAAUCUAGAGCAUUAUCAAGGUCAUAAUUUAUGGGAACAACUAAAUAAAUAGAACAAAAUAAAAAACAAAUAGCGGUAGGGAUGGAUAUAUCACAAAAUUGGACUUUUUUUAUUCUUCCCUAAUUUUUUUGUUUGGAUUUUCGGGAAAACAAAAUACAAAAAAAUGGGCAUUUUAGGUUAUGGCGGAUCAGCGAAUUAUUGGGCCGAGCUGGAUUUGAACCAGCGUAGACAUAUUGCCAACGAAUUUACAGUCCGUCCCCAUUAACCGCUCGGGCAUCGACCCAGGAAGAAUCAAUUCUAGGUUUAUUGAUAAUCCAUGAUCAACUUCCUUUCGUAGUACCCUACCCCCAGGGGAAGUCGAAUCCCCGCUGCCUCCUUGAAAGAGAGGUGUCCUGAACCGCUAGACGAUGGGGGCAUACUUGCCUGACCGCGACCAUACUAUGCUCAUAGUAUGAACAGUUUUUUGAAAUUGUCAAUAUAAUGGAAUGACUAGAGCCGAAAGCUUUUUCCAUCUUUUAUGAUUUUCCAUAUUUUAUUCACGAUUUAUACUCAGUAAAUCAUUCAUUUUAAUCGCCACUCUAUUCGAUAUAGAAAUAAAUUAGAUAAAUUCAAUCUAUUAUAUAAAUAUUUAUUAGAAAUAAAUAGAUAUUAUAAAAAGAAACUAGAUUAAUAAUACAAAGUAUAAGAUCAGUGAUUGGUUUAACAUAAACAUAAAAAAGGGAGUUAACCUUCAUUUUUUCCACUUUCAUUCAUUGAUUCACUCAUUAUUACGACGAGACAGGCAUGUUUCUAUCUCACACUAAGCCGGUAAAUUAACAAAAAGUAAAUCGGGAAUUUUUGGAAGAGGCAGCAAGAAGUUAUCAAAAAUUAUGUGUGUGUUUUUUUUCUAAAAAUUGGGUUCGGUGGACAAAGCAAAUCCCUUCAUCACAUGUUUCGAUAAACUAGAUUGGAUCUAUGUCGAAUUUCUAAGGUACAUGUAUUAAUCAAAUAAAUGAAUUUCGUUCUGUUCUGAUAAGCCAAUUAUGAUUGGCCUUGAAACAGUUUAUUGCAUUGAUACAAACCCAAUAUCAAUAAAACCAUUUUACCCUCUACAUGUUAAGUAAAUUAGAAUUCUCAUUCCUAAGAGCUACUAGCCACUAUGAGUCUACUGCAUAUACUUAUAUAUAUAAAUAGAUCUUAUCCGUCUACUGAUUCAUUCAGUAAUUGAGUCGAACUGCCCUUUUAACUCAGUGGUAGAGUAAUGCCAUGGUAAGGCGUAAGUCAUCAGUUCAAAUCCGAUAAGGGGCUUUUGACUUUUUUUUCAUAAAACUCCUAUAAAAUGGUAGUAUUCAUAUUGAAACAUAAGGAUGUUGUUUUUAUUGGUAAUAAAAACCCAACUGUAUAUGUAUAAUAAUUGAGUUAGAAAUUGUAUAAUUUAACUCUAAUAAGUUAUUAUUCUAAUGAGUUAGAGUAGAGGAAUUCUAAAAGAAAGUUGAAAUUAUAAUGAAUAAUGAUAAGCCGUCUCUUGAAGCGACAAAUAUAUAUUUUGUUUUGAUUUUGAAUUAGAUUAUUCCAAUCAAAUCCAUUGUAAAGAAUUGUAAAGAUUAGAAAUCAACAAAAGAAAAAGUAAGUGGAUCUAACCCAUUGAAUCGUGACUAUAUCCACUAUUCUGAUAUUAAAAUUCGAUAGAGAUGAAAUUGGAACAGUCGAUUUCUUUUUAUUUCAUAUUUAUUUGGACUCCACAAGA
rnacentral:lncRNA from 1 species